rnacentral:lncRNA from 1 species
ACAUAAGAGGUUGGACAAAUCAAAGUAAAAUGCUUUUUGUCCACAAGUGCUUGUUUCAUAAUAUUUAGAGAAUAUCCUAGUGACUUUUCUUUGUGGACAACAUUUUUCUUGAGAUGUUUUUCUUAGAGUGAUUUAGAAGUUGAGGAUAAUGACGUUGAAAUUAUCAAAACUUUUGCUUGUUUUACAAUACUAUCUAAACUUUUCUUUUUUCAAUCAAGUAUCUCACUUUUUCAAAUUUGAUAUAAUUUGAGGCAUUCGCUAAAUGAAUCGUCAUGUCAUAUGAUUUUGGUUACAUUAUUCGCUCACUUGCAUAUUGAGUGACGUGGAAAGAAAAAAUAUUGACUUAGAUAAUCGUAGUGUGACAUCCCGAAAUUUGGCCCUAUUUCGAAAUAUGUAAAAUGGUUAUUUCAUCGACGCACUUAUGGUUAUUUUACUCUGAACUGAUCACUCAUGAGUUAACUAAUCCAUUGAGUGAGGCCAUAAAGGGUUAAAACACGAAAAACUAGAGAAUUCGAUCAGAAAUCAAUCGCUCGACCAUAAGGAUUGACAAGGGUCAAUACUACACUGUAUAAAUCAAUUAGCAAACGGAUACAAAUCGAUUUGACUAAAGUACGUAGUUGGUUCGCAGGUGAUUCCGCACAAUUACGAUAUUCGCAUCAAAUGACAAUAAACCAAUUUUCUAUUGAUAUUGUAUUCAAAGUAUGUAACUGAACCCUCGCGAUUACAUGACAAUCGAGGGUCAUUCACGAUUUGAAGAUGCACAAACAUGGAUCGAAAAUUAUCGACCACGGGUCAACCGCACGAGAACCCCUAAAAGCCACCCGAUAUAUUAUGUUGUACUAAAGUCGUGUUUAAUCGAUUUUAACCAUGAAAUUUAAUUCGAUUUCGAGUAUCGAAUUUUCAAGAGUUUCCAUAUUUAAUUAUUGGACGUUGUCUCAUCGUCCGUCAAAUUGUCAGCGAGCCCGAAAUUUCGGAAAAAGAAAUUAUUGGAUGAAAAAUUGGAGGUUGGAAGAAAAAGAAAAAUAAUAACGAUAUUAUUACUAUUAUUAUUAUUUUUCUUCUCUCUCUCUCUCCUCUUUCUCCUCUCAUUCACGCUUUCUCCUCCUUCAGACGAGAUUCCUCUUCCUCCUUUUCUUUUCUCUUUCUUCUCUCUCUCUCUCUCCCUCACGUUUUCUUCCCCCCUCCUUCGCACGCAAUUUCCUCCUCCUCUCUUUUCUUCUCUCUUUCUUCUUUUUCUCCCUCUCUCUCCCACUUUUCCACCCCCUCACUUACGCCAACCCUUAUUGUGACAGUCUGAUUUUUCGCUUCUGUUUUCAAUUAAAUAAUUCGGGCUUUUCGUCGACGUGCCUAUAGCGCUAUUCUCUGAACUGAUCACUCAUGAGAUAACUUGACUAAUCAGGAAAGUUAUUAAAGAAUUUUGAUGCAACAGACUUGAAAAUUCGACCAGGAAUCGACUGCUCAACCGUGUUAGUCUACAAGGAUCAGUUCGGCACAGUCGAAAAUCUAUCAGAAAUCGGAAAUAGGUCGAUUCGAUAGAAAUAAAAUUAGGCUUGGGUGAUUCCAACUAAUUUACAAACUUCUCGUCGAUCGGCACUAAACCGAUUUUUCUGUUGUUUUGGUACCCUGUGCUCGUAAUUGAAACCUCGAGAUUUUUCACGACAAUUGAGAGUUGCUAAUGCGUUGAAAAUAUAUAUCGUCGCUCGGGAAUAAUCGACCACGGGUCAGUGCACCAAAAGUUCCCAAAAACUAACCGAUAGUUUAAGUUGUGCUAAAAAUCACAUUUUGACUGAAAUUAACCGAGGAAAUGAUGUCGAUUACAGAAAUUAAGAAUUGUCACGUGUCACAAUUCAUCCCAAUGACAUUGUUGCGUCUUCUCAAAAUUUAUGGAUGAUGGGAAUUGUUCACGAAAUAUGCAAGAUCAGCAAAUUAUAAGAGCAAGGGAAUUGCCACAUUUUAAGUAGGAUUUUAAGACCUCUAAUGUGAAGCAAUUUAAGAGGUAUUAUAAUUGGUUACUAAGGGACUUGACCCUAUUGAAUUAGAUGUUAGAUUGGUAAUUAAAUAAAGAAGAGAAGUCUCCUCAAAAAGGGAAAUUCGUAGGAAUUCCUCUCUCCUACAACUUCACCUCAAUUUCCUUGGUAUUUAAUGGAGAUUGACUUGGAAAAGAUAGGGGGAUCACUUGAUAGGGAAAGGACUCAAUCUCCAUGGGAAAAAGCUACGAGAAUCCACUUCAAAAUUCGGAUUCAGCAGUUCACAUGGAUUCCAACCUUUUCUUUCAUAUCAAUUGGAAGAAACAACGUUGGAAAAACUUUGUGGGGCCUAUGAGGGUGAUGGGUGGCCAAAGUUUCCAUGGAAAAUUAGGCCAAAGGCUGGAGGAAACUUCAAUGAAACUUCCCAGCAACUUACACUCUCCUUCCUCACCCUUUUUCUCACGCAUGGAAGUUUGUUUGCUGUAUUUUACACGGCAACUUCCAUCUUUCCCUUUCUUCCUCUAUUUUAUUCUUUUCAUUUGUCUCUUUCAACGUACAAACCGUUGCUUUCUCUUCCCUUAAACGUGAUACUUCCAUUUCUGCUCCCUCUUGAACGACCAAACUCCAUACUUAGUUUCCUCUACCGAAAAAUUUAUAAGUUUGUGUGUUGCUGUUGCCAUCAUACCACAUCACAAUCUUCUGCGGUUUCGGCUCAACACCAUCACCAAGAGGAUCAAGGCUGAUCUCUGUGUUGCUGUUCAAGCACCAACGAGAGCUGCCGUUAGCUGUGAUUAGGUGAGUUGUCUUCUAAAUCUGGACUAGGGGUUGAGUACCUCUAUUAGGAAUUUGUACAAGUUAAAAAUAUGUAGAUGGCGUUAUAUAUGGAUAGAUGUUGGUUAGGGACGUUAUGAUAGACAUAGAAAAGCUUAGAUAAGGCUUAGAGAGCAAAACAAAAGUCGUGGUGGAAGAUUCGGACUAGAACAGUAGUUGAUUACUGAAACGGUUUCUAGAAUGUGUAUGUUUUGCUAAUUUUGUAGACAACUUUGUGUUGCAAUUUUGAAAGGAUUUUGUUCUGAAGAAACGUUGUGAACAUCAUAAAUAAUAACAUAUAUUUUUAUUUUAAUUUUUAUAAAUUAAAAAGAUGACGAUUUUAAUGACGUCAUCCUCGGAACAGUAAUCGGACAGUUUUGUAAUCCGUGACCUAUUAUGAUUCUGAGGGCUGUUAAUGACCUUUAGAGGUCGAAUUUCCAAUUGGUUCCUUCACGAAAGUUGUUUUUUAUAACUUUUAGUUUAACAUACUUAAAUUUCAAGUCAAACGAAGCAGAUUUCGACCCAAAAACGAACUGAUUUCGAUAGGUUUGGCUCUCUGGAACUGGACCCGAUUUUUGUGCUGGAUAGAAACAAUUUCUGGGCCGAAUCCAGAGGGAUCUGGAUCUCGGUGUCUUCAUGAAAAAUGUUUUUUUAUAUGUUUUCUAGCACGUAUCCGAAUUUGAUAAUUUUUCGAGAUGGUAUGGAUGACUUUCUGACUUCGAAAUUGGGAGAGCGUUAUUGGGCAGUUCUCUGUCAAUUUGGAUGAAUAAGAAUAUAUACUUGUUUUGAAGAAUUCUUGCUAUGAAAGUGCUCAAUUGAUGUUGUGGAUGCUGUAUAUAAUUGAUUAUUGAAAUGUGAAAUUGAUCAUGAGAUUCCGCCACGAGCCUUUGAGGCCGGGCGAUGCUCCUUCGGGAAUGCCCCACGUCAACGGAUGCCGGUCGCAGUGGAGGCUGGACCGAUGCUCCUUAAUUGGAAUGCCGUCUAGAUGUAGACGUUGCCGCGCUCAACGGUGUGAGGCGAUGCCCGGUUAUGCCGGAAGACUGUUAUAUGAGCAUUGACAUCAUUUAUGACAUAUGAGAUGCCCGGUUUUGCCGAAAGACUGUUAUCUGUUACAUUGACUAUGGCCUGUAUGCUUACAUGGAUAUUCACACCUUGCAUAUGCUUAUGUUAAAGUAUUCAUGUGAUGUGUGAACUUGACACUGUUAGGAAUAUUUUAUUUGAUGCUAAUAUGCAGGAACUUGCUGGUGUUAAAAGAGUGGUAAGAAAUGUGAUUAGAUUGCAUGCUGGAUGUACCCUUCACCUAAUCUGGAAUUAGGAGAUUUACUCGCUGAGAUGUGAUCUCACCCCUUAGAGGGCUAACAUUUUUCAGGUUCUUAAAUGGAGGAAGGCCGGAUCGUGUACAGUCGGUCGCAGUAAAGGAGGAAUAGGACUCUCGCUAUCUCCUUCCAAGUGAUGACGGGUUUUCCGUCAAGACUGGAUGUAGGGUGACAGCUCACCCCCGAGAUAUUAAGAAGUAUGGUAUUAUAAUAGUAAACCCCAGUUUUAUAAAUAGAAGCUUAGUUAGUGGUUAAUCGAAUAACUUCACUUUUGUAUCAAACCUUGGGGGUGUUAAACUGGUCUAUUUACAUAGAUACGAUAAUGUUGUAGUUGUGGUUUGUGAAAAAUAAUAUCCUACGUUUCUAUCCCACUGUUUUGUUGUAUGGAGAUUGUUUACGUUUCCGCAUGUGCAAAAUAAAUGAAUGGGUCGGCAACAAUUCCUGGGAUGUUGCAAAUUUAAAAUCGACCAUUGAGGGAUGUGCAUGUGCCCGGGGUUCGGGUCGUGACACUUAUGCUGCAAUUUCCCCCCAACUUCCCCUCCAUUACUUUAUUUUUUCUCUUUCCUCUUCCCCCCUUUCUCCUCUCGACAACCCCCCUUCCUUCUUCUUUCUUUUUCUCUCCCUUCUCUCUUUCUCUUCUCCCCCUCACACAUUCUCCCUUCUACCAUAGCACCCCCAUCUUUUUCCCCUCCAUUUAUUUUCUUUCACUUUCUCUAACUUCAUCAUCUACUUGUCUCACCAUUGUCCUCACCGUUGCACACCGUCCGCUCAAGCCGAGCGCCCUUGCCCUUGAGCUCAACUUCAACGAACCGUUGCCGUUUGAGUUGCGAGCCUCGUGAUUUCGUCGCUAUUGCGCUGCCGCUGCCAGGAGUUCUUCAAUCCACAAAUUAUGUGAGUUAGUUUUCCCUAAUUUUUUAUUUGGGGCUAAUUACAUUCGCUUAGGAGGUUGAUUAGGUUUAAGGAUGGUUUAGACUAACUUAAGUAUGGAUUAGUUUUAAGUUAGAAUGAUUAGAUUAGCAUUAGAAUGGAUUAAUGUUAGUCUAAUUCGAGAGAUUAACAUGUUUGAGGAUGAUUUAGUUGAAAACAGUGGCUGUUCUUCAGAACUGGUUCCUGGACGUCUGCUGUUUGCCAUUUUUGUAGACUGAUAUUGGUUACGAAUUUGAGGUUGAUGUCCUUUGAAAAAAUAUUUUAGACAUCCUCAGCUACAACAUAUAUUUUUCUCAAGAUUUUUGGGGAUUCAAAAGAAGGAGAUAUCAGCUCCAUCAUUUUCAAACAGAACUGCAGUUUUUGCUGGAAUUGGUGACCCUUCAGGAUUUUAGGAGUUUUUAUCAACUCUUGGGGUCCGAAUUUCUAAAUGUUUUCUUCAAAAAAUUUGUUUCUCACCUCUUCUAGUUUAACAUACUCAAAUUUCAAAUCAAACGGACAUGUUUAAGACCUCAAACAAAACUGAUUUCGGAAAACAGACUUUUUGGGAACCUAGCUUUGGUGCUGAAUUGAACGAUUUACUGGGCCGAAUCUAGAAGGAUCUGAGAUUCAGUGUCUUCAUGAAAAAUGUUCUUUUAUGAGUUCUUUAUAAUAUAUUCAAAUUUGAGAAUUUUCUGAAUUUAGUUGAUUAGGUUUCUGGAGUUAAAACCGAGAUGUGUAAGUGAACAGUUUCUGCCGGUUAGGGCCGGUAAUAGUUUGUGACUGUUUUUAAUGUUUGCUUAUUAGAAAUGGCAUCUUGAUGACGUGAUUGAAUUAUGCAAUUGAUUGAUGAAUUAUGAAAUUGGAUGAAUGCAUAAAUGACAUGAGAAUCCAUCACGAGCCUUUGGGGCUGGACGAUGCUCAUUCGGGAAUGCCCCAAGUCAACGAAUGUCGAUCGCAGUGAAUGCUGGGCCAAUGCUUCUAAUCGGAACGCCGUCUAGAUGUAGACGUUGCCGUACUCGAUGGUGCAAGACGAUGCCUAAUUAGGUCGGAAGACCGCUAAUUGUUGAGUUGGACGUGACCAGUUAGUCGAAGUCUAUUAAGACUAAUGAACGAUGGAAAUUGAGGAACCUAAUUAGGAGACGGAAUUGUGUGGUGCGGUAUGGGAUGUUUCAUAACAAUUUAGUCUGGUAAUUGGGGGCCCGUAUGAUUGUGAUGAUAUGUACGCCCAUGCAUAUAUAUACACAUAUUGAAAUGUUUCUAUGAUAUGUGAUCUCGAUACAGUUAUGUACGUUUUGAUUGAUACUGACAUGCAGGAAAGUUCUGGUGUUACUAGAAUUAUGGGAAAUAUGGUUAGGAUGCAUGUGGGUGUACUUUUCUCCUAAUCGAGAUUUAGGGGAUGGAUUUGCUGAGACGUUGUCUCACCCCGUUGUUGGCUAAAUUUUUCAGGCCCCUAGAUGGAAGACUAUCAAGCCAGAUGCAGAGGGUUGCAGGAGGUGGGUUAUGAGUUUUUCUGUAGCCUUUUCCAGAUGUUGAUGGAUCUUCCGUCUGAUCUAGAUAAUGGGUGACAACUCACCCAGGACUAUCGAAAAGUCUAGCAAAGUCGUAGGGAGGGACUUGAUCUCAUGGAUGAGGAGCUUGGAGCGUAGAUAGCCUAGAAGCUCUUCUUUUUGAUAUAGAUCCCUGUUAUGUUAGACUUUUAUGUACAUAAAUACUACUGUAAAAAAGUGUGUGUUUUAUGAAAAUAUAAUCAUAUAUUUGCUAUCCCAUUUUUGUGUUGUUUGGAUGUUAUUAUUACGUUUCCGCUUGCGUAAUAAAAUGAAUGGAUCAGCAACAAUUCCUGAGAUGUUGCAAAUUUUUAAUUGACCAUUAUGGAAUGGGCAUGUGCUCAAGGUUCGGGUCGUGACACGUAGUGUCUUAUAUAUCUCGGUUGAUGUGGCAGCAUAUCAAGAUAUCGUAGCAAACACUAAUGUGGGCAAUUAACGACUAUUUAGCAACAUUAGUAUAAUAUCAACAUUUUUUGUUGGUGAUUUUUUUUUUUUUGAUAACCAAGGGACCAUUGAAGAUCACCCUUAGGGGAUCACAUGACUCUCCGGUGCUUGGUAGCACCGGUGGGGCCUCACUGUGGGCCUCAACGCAAGCCACUAUUAAGACGUAAACCCUCGAGGGACUGGCCCAAUAAACAACCCCUGGGACCUCCAGUUAAGUGGCGACCAUCCAUAGAUUCGAACCCGUUCCCUUUGCGAUGAGGUAGUAAAGCCCAACCAUCAUGGCUACUUCCGGGUGGGUUUUUUGUUAUUUAUUUAAUAGAUGACUUAUCCUAUAUUCAGAAAAUUGAGGUAAUUGACUGAAUGAAGUAAAAUUUUGGUAUGAUUACAAAAAGGGUAAUAAUUUGGAUACUUGUGCGUCAUUAUCCAAUAAUUUAUCUUUUUUUUAUGUGAUAUUCAUGUGAAAGAGAAUAUUAAAUAGUUUUGUCAAUUUCAAGCCAUUGCAAAAAGAUUUUAGUGGCUAUAUGUCAAGCCCAUUCAGAGAUUAUAACAUUCUCAAUGUUGAUUUCCUUUAUAUUUUCUGCAAUCAUUCGAUCAUAAACCAUUCCUACCCCUUUUUCCUGGCCAAUUCCACCGCUUUCCCUUUCAUCUAUUAACCCAAAACUCAAAAAGUAUGUGUAGGUGGUUUGACCUAAAUCAGUUUGAACCAGUUUGAAAAUGUAUCGAUUUUCAAAAUUGGAUUUGCCCAAUUUUAGAAUUCCACAAGUAUAGAAUUGGGCUUUUGGCUACUGUUGCACAUGAAGGGACUCAAGCGCUCAAUUUCACGGAUCACUGGCAUUUUACUUUACCACCAAGGUUGAACGAUUCAUGUGUUCAUGGGCAAUUGACAAUAUUACAUAACUAUAAUCAUUUGCUCCGGACACAAUCACCGAUUCACCCCUAGUCCAAUCGCUAGGACCGCAAACUAACAACCUAACUGGUUCUUCGACUGGCCUAAGUUUGAAAGCAAUGGUGCCAAGUUUCUAUCCCUUCUUAAAACAAGUAGAUAAUGACCAUCUUAUAUAAAUUGAGUUGUAAUUGAUGCAAUACUUUUGCCACAUAACAAAAGACGAUAGCUAAGUGAUUAUAACUAAUAAUCAUUGAUGCUCCUCUUUCUCCUUGAUUAUAUUAGAUCUGGAAAUUCUUGGUAUUGCUCCAAAUGAGGUUGAUGCUCAACUUCCAUGGUACAUUACUCCUGCCGUUGCUCUAGUUGGAGCUAUGACUGAUGCUUGACCUUUCCCUUAAAAAUUUCGUAUUCAACAGUAAGUCUUUGCUUUGGCAUCGCAUAGACUUCAAUUUAAGAUGCUAAUAAAUCUUAGUCAAGAGGGAAAAAAAGUUAACAUCUACCACUCUUAGGAACCUUAUAUGCUAUUAGGAACUUCGUCGAGCAUGGCAUGCUAUCGAGAGGUCGUAGGACUUUGUUAGGCUUAAGAAGAGAUCUAAUCGCCCCAAUCAAAAGAAAUGAAAUCUAUCAACCAUUGGAUUUUGUUAUAAAACAAAAAACCAGAAAAUGAUGCAGUGCAAUAUAUUUAGCUACACAGUGGCAGUUUGAUUUGUCACAUGCAGGUUUUUGGAUAUCAUGGUUUUUGUGAGCACGAGAAGAAAACUAGUCACAACAUUUGGAAGCAAAUUACUCAGUAUCAUCUCUAGUGAGUUUGCUAAGAAUUUUCUUUUGAUAAGCAAAAGAAAUUUACUGCACAGUGGCGUCAAGCAGAUGCUAGCCCACGUAACAAAUCAUAAACGCAGUUCAUGCUAUGAGGUAUAAGAGAGAAUGCACAUUAGUAAGCUCGUUGUCACACAACCAAAAGCCGUGGAAAGCCAUCUAUCAUUCAAAUAAAUAAAUAAAACCAGUCUUGCUAUUUCAAAAGCUCACGUAUUUCUUUCUUCAAGACAAAACAGUAAGCUAUUGAAGUGAAUCAACCAUGAACAUAGCCCAACAUAAGGAAGGAGUAAUAAAAACUACUUAUUGUUUGAUGUUGGGUUCUAAAAUCCAACAAAAGGAAGUUCUCUAGUAGAACCCAAAAACAGGAGUGUGCCAUAGAUUCAUGGAGAAUUUAAACAGAAAUUACAAGACCUAUGAAACAAGCAAUCAGAUAGAAAGCAAAUGAAGGUGUGUCGCAGAAGGCAGUCAUAGACAUUGUGGACCUGAAUAUCCAUGCACAGUGAUGAAUGAGGCAUUACUGCAGGGUGAGCUCGGCAUUUAAUUUGUAACAACAAGAGAGAGAAUGUCAAUCAUCAUAGCAGCUGAGGCUGUGUUCUCCAUGAUAGCUACUACCGAAUCAUCUCUUUGACCCAACAAUUGAGAUUCAAAUGCAGCGUGGCAAGUUCAUCUUCAAAAUAGCAGAUUAGUACAGCCACACUCAUUAAGUCAGACCAAUAACUGAGAAUGAACCAGUCAUUGUAAAUAGACUCUUCUGAUGUCCUUGCUGGCAUCAAGGCGAGCUGAGAGUUGCCAAAAGCAAUAUUUGCACAUUCUUUCUGAAUCAUUGAUUUCAGGAGUUCCAGUGGCAAUUUUUAGGACUAACAAGGAAUGAGAUGGAUCAGUCCACUAUUAAUUAACUUGGUUUAUAGAUGUAAGCAGAGUUUGUCUAAUUUAAUCUGUACAAAAACUCAAAACUUUGAACUCGUGAAGAAGAAGACUGGAAAGCAAAUUAUCUUGAAAACUCAAAUAAGAAAAUAUGACCUUAAAAUGAAUCACGAGGCUUGUAUUUAUUGUCAAUUUCAUGUAUAUCCAUUAAGGAGCUGUCUCCAACUGCAAUAUCCUCCAAUUCACUGAUGGCUUCUAUUUGGUUAAGCUGCAUAGCAAUGCCUCCAUCCUCAAAGCUACCCUCUAGAAAAUCAUUAUAUUCCAUAUCUGAUGAGUCCAUAAAAGUUUCUAUCUUUUUCUUCCUACCCGUAUAACCAAUAAGGCUUAGGAAUUUUUCCUUCCAAAUAACGAGCGGACAUUUCUAAAUCAGCUCUUCACCUUCAUAAGCUCCUCUGAAGAACACACUAAACCUCUUUCCCCUCUCAGAGACAUAGAAAAUGCCAUAAUGCUUCAACGGAAGUCUCAUCAGCUUUUGAGGCAUCACAAAUUAUUGUCGAAAGUGCACGAGGUGAUUGGUUACCAACCUCUUUUCCAUUGUGAAGCUAAGUAACUCGUGCAUUGCUGCAAUGGAUCUCUUAUUGAAUUCUUUCAAUCCAGCUUGAAGGCCACAUGCAUCAGCAUAAGGAGUCAAGUAAGACCUUUUUUCUGAAAGUGCUCAACCUUCCCUCCAUAUCUACACACCUUCUUGUAACUGGCAGGAAACUUCAAGGGGAAAGAUAGGGAAAGCAAUCCUGGAGUAUGAAAAGGCAAAUUCUUAUACCCCCAUAUGGGCGUGUCCAACUCUAUGAUAGCCUAAGCGGGCUUCCACUCUAUGAGCUCGAGGUAAUCAACUUCAUCUGGAGAUUUAACCACUUUGAAGUGCUAUGGAUACUCGUGUACCCACUUGCUCCUAAAAUCAGCUGGCAAACCAAACUCUCUCUUGAAAUGAGCAAUUUUGUCCAGAGGAAGCCGUUUAUCGACCGACAUCGUCAACAUCCUAGUCACGUAUUCAACAGCCGUGCCAGAAUGUCCCCUAAUCAAUCUCUCCUCUUCCUCUAACAAGUCUUCAACUUCUUUAGUUAAUUCCAAACCACAAUACCCCCUUCUGAUCCUUAUACAACUCAUAACAGUUUUGGUGACUUCCGAAUAAAAUCCACUAUACCGUUUGCUUGGCUAUAGAUCCAGCGAUCUCACAAGGAUUAUCAUCUCGGAUUCCUUUUUCAACAUUUCCAUCAAAACCAACACCUUUGACACCACUUUUGCUUCAGUGGCAAUGUCAAGAUCAUGGACCCUCUUGUCCUUGUUCCUAUCUUGCAGUCUCUUGCUGGUUGUCAUGAAUCUACGCCAUGACCAGUUAAAUAAAAUCUCACCAAAACUCAAGUUUCCUCUCAAGGUAGGCGAAUGCACUGGUGUGGUGACAAAGCAACCAAAAUCUCUUGCCGUCUCAGAUCACUUGAUCAGCACGGAAGCUGGUUGGGAUUUCAGGCCGGGUUUGUGCGGAGAACAAAGAAGAAGAAGAAGAAGAAGAGGGAAUGGGCGGUAGAAACGGAACGGAUUGUCGUUUUGGUUUUUGCCUUUCUCGUCGUGGGAGAGAUGAUAUUUUGAUUUAAAUAAUUAAAAGAGCUUGAGGGUCUUAUAAAUGGCGAUAUUCUUGUGCUUUCAAAAAAAAAUCAUAAAAUUGAGGCAUUUGAGAUUACAUCAUAAAUCCGAUUUAAAAACAUAAUACAUUUUAGUAAAAAAAAUCGAACCAUAUCAAAACCAAACAUUAUAUCUCGUAUUUUUGUAGACAGUCGAACGUCUUUUCUCGUUAUACAUACAUUCAAAUACUUACGUAAAAGAACAAUUUUUUAGGAAAAAUAUUAGGAAAAAUAUGUUGAAGAUUAGUGAUGUUCGAUAUUUUAAGUAUGAUUUGUCUAUUUUGUAAGUUGGAGUCUAACCACAAACAUUAAAUGUGCUCCAUGUUCAGCAAAAGAAAACACAUGCUCCAUGUUCAUCACCUUUUAUUCAAUCGCUGAGUUACAAAUUUUAGGACGUGUGCUCAAACCAAUCACGAGCAAGUUCUUAGCAAGUCAUUCCGCAUAACUCAAUUGUUCAUUGGUAUUUUCCUAAUUCAGUGAGCAAUAAGCGUGGAAUUUAAACAUAAUGCCACUAAACCAAGUGUUGACCACAAUAUGGAUCGAUUCUUUUCCUUUUCUAAGAAGAGCUUACUUUAGUCCAAUUUAAGAAAAUUAUAAGCCGAACAGGAUUAAGAUAAAUAUAAAACCAAGCAAAAUAAAAAACUGAGUUAUUUAAUGCAAAAAAAAAAAAAAUCAAACCGAUAUUUCCCUCUCCCUCUUUAGGAGUGUAUCUGAUAAAUUCUUAAAACAGAUCCAUUAAACCUCAGAAUAACGAAACUCAGUCAAACCUCUUUUUCUUAAAAGAGAAAAAAAAAAAAGAAAGGAAAAAUAAACCGAGAGCCAUUCCCCCCCGCUUCCCGCCUCUCUGUAUAUAUAUAAGAUUCCCUCCAAUUUCCGAUCGUUUCCAAAAUCUGCGAAAGAAAAUUCGAGAGUUUCUCCUCCUGCGCAGAGCGAAAUUCCAUCGUCGUCGAAGAUGCCUUUGUCUCUCAAGUGAGUUUCACGAAGCUCCGCUUGAUUUCACCUCAUGUCCCUUUCCGCGGCACGAUCACCGGCGACGAUGAUUCUGAGUUUCGUCUCGUGUUCGCUCGUUGAUGUUCGGAGCCGAAGAGCAGAAGAUCGUGGAACGAGAGGACGUCGACGACAGAGCAGAAGACCUGCUCGAAACGAUCGACAAACAAACGUGAGUUUCGGCAGAACAGAGUGUAGGCAACUCCUCUCUGUUCAUCUGAUCGCUUUCGUCAUGAGUUUCGGUGCGUCCUUUGAUUCUGAGAUGAUUAUCGUGAAAUUCUGAUCCGUGUUCUGAAAUUUAAAAUUAAGAUGCAAAUGGUUCGAUGAAGCUAUGGCUGUGAUCAUCGUGAUUUACAUCUCGAGCUUUCUCUCGAACUUGCUGUGAUUUCCUGCUCGUGCAGUAGUUUUCACUUUUCAGUUUUUGUCUCCUGACCAUACGAGAGCAAUUCCAGUCUUCCUUAUGUUACGUGACCUUGGAAUUGCACCAUCGUACGUCUUAUUUUCCAUGCAUUCGUGACAUAGCUGGAUUAAUAACGAAUGUCCCAAGCUUAAUUCAUCAAUAAAGACUGUUGGAACGCUAGAUUGUCAUUGAUCAUUUAGGAAAUGCUUUUGUCCUGACAUUCUACAUUCACCAGAAAACAUAGAGUUUAACACGAUGGUUGAGCUCGAGUCUUUGUUGAAGGACGAUUCUGAUUCGCUCAAAUCCAGCAAAGUGAAGAAUAAUGUGGAGAGAAUUGACUAUUGGAAGCCAAGCCCUCGAUAAGCUUUUAGGCGGUAACAGACUUUCUUUUGCAGACUGUGUGUCUGUUUCUCCAUGCAUUUCAACGAAAACAAAUUUCACCGGAUUGGCAAUGUUUACAGGUGAUAUUGAAACUCCGGCAAUUACGGAAGCAUUUCGCGAACCUCGGUGAAAAUCACAGUCCAAUAACGUUACCUUUGAUGAACUUUUAGUUGCUUUUGUUAAUUAGCUUUCUCAGAAAUGUUGCUGACGUCACUUCAGGUCUGGGAAAACCCAGCUUGCAUAUACCCUAUGUGUUACUUCCCAGGUUGGUCUGAAUUGGAUAUUAGGUUUCUGUCUUGAACUUCUGUUGCAUUUUUUUUCUCAGAUGAACAAUGCCAAAUAGUAACAUAACGAUUGAAUUUCUAUAAAGUAUAAAGAUGUGGGUGAUCUUGGCAUCAUAGCGUGUGUAUUAGGUGAUUCUGGAAGUAUGGCACUCAUUUUCUGUAAUCUGCAAUCAGUAUACUGGAAUGCAUAUACAGUGGCUCAAACCAAGCAGGAAAAAGGCCAGAAGAGUUUGUCCUAUGUCAUAACCGAGUAAAAGCCUUAAUCAUAGUCGGACUCGGACUUGGGUUGAUCAUUAGUCAAAUGUGAUGCUUGAUGAUACUCUACUUUAUUUGCAAAUCCUACUACAGUAUUUACCCUGGUUUUCAGUCAUUCUUUAUUAAUGGUUUGUGGAUUCCAUGGUCGUAAAAUAUUUACAGCUGCCAACUCACAUGUGAGGAGGAAAUGGCAAGGUAGCUUAUAUUGACGCAGUAGGAACUUUGUAUCCUAUUAUAAUCUGUCUGUAUUUUUCUUGACCUCGACAAAGCUACUUGUGUUUCAUAAUCGUUGUCUGUCCAUGUAAGCGCAUGUGCACUUUCUUAACUUAGUACACCUGCAGUCUUAGAUAAUGUAAGCAAUGCUUCCUAUACUGGUGGCAACUCUUACUUUUCUGGCUAGUGUACUUGCUGUAAUCUAGUCUUUCCAUGAAUUUGAAGAUCAUAUAUGCUCGUGCCUCUACUUCUGAGCAUCAGUACAACUUGCUUCUUGGUUUGGCUGCCAAAAUGUCUGAAGAACCAUUCAAAUUACUGGUAAGACACUGCUCGAGAAUCAAACCCUACAGAUUUUCUGAGGUGUGGAUGGUUGACCUAUGGUGAGUGCCUUUCUCAGAUUGAGGAUUCAGUGAUUGCUCUCUUCCGAGCGGAUUUUACUGCAAGAGAACUUGCAGAGCCCCAGGUUGAUCCUGAAGCCAUCAAAUCAUGCAAGUUGUUAUUCUGCAGCUUAUCUGGUUUGACACUAAUUAAUUCCAAAUUGCAGCAAAAAUUGGCACAAAUGUCUUACGUUUAAUUAAGAUAGCUGAGGAAACUAACGUAGCAGUGUUUGUGGCAGUGUACGUGGCCAAUCAAGGUACUGUAUCACAUCUCAUUUCUCCCACGUAGUCCUGCAUCCAUUCAAAGUUGUUAUUCAAUUUAGCCCUUUGAUGGUUGCACACUGACAAAUAGCAUUUUAGGGACUGCACUAAGCUCAUACUGAUUCUUGUAAAUCUCAAGAACCAGCUAUUUGGUGUAAACUGGUGAUGCAUACAGUAGCUGCAGUCCAUGACAUAGGAAAAGGAUUUUAUUAUUUUUAAGACUCUGUCUUUGAUUUAUCUGUUUUAGUCGUAGCUGAUCCAGGCCGAGCUGUGUUAUCAGACCCAAUGAAACCUGCAGGCGGGCAUGUUCGGGCUCAUGCAGCCACAACUAGGUUAAUGGCUAGGAAAGUCAGAGGGAAUCAGCGUGUCUGCAAGGUGUUUGAUGCCCCAAACCUACCCGAAGCUGAAGCUAAGUCGAUACUGAGGCUACAUAUAGAUAGGUGGAGACCUGAUUUAAGCAUGGUGCUUACAGUAUACUUGAUGUUGUAUGGAGAUCCAUGAACACGUUGAAUACGAAUUUUGUGCAGAGUAAUUAAACAAAAAGAAGUGGAUAUGGAGAAUUUUUUUUAAGCAGGACUAGUAGGUUAGUUGUGCAGCCUGUGCUAUGUAGACAGCACAUCUAUCAAAACCAUCACUUCCUUAUGUAAGAAAGUUCAGCGAGAGCUCAUAUGUCAAUAUGAUGAGACUGAUAUUUAUUUUAUCGAUGUUGAACUUGACAAACACACGUUUUUCAGAUAACAACAGGGGGCAUAACCGAUGCGAAGGACUAAAGAGGUCUCUCCUACCGAGAUGGCUAGGCGAAGUGUUUUUUUUUUAGCUUAGUCUGCAUUAUGGAUAGCUAUCUCUAUCUUCCUUCAUGUUAAGUUUGUACCAACAUGCAUCAAGGUCCUUUUGACUGCUUUUAAAAUUGCACGAGAGUUUACUUUUAGCCUUUAAUAUCUAACAUGCCACAAGGUAUCGUGUAAACUCGAUUUCCAUAUGAGGACCAGCAUGCUCCAAGUUUUUAUAGUUCACAUUUGUCCUCAUAUAACAAUGUCGUCCCAGCCUAAUUUACAAAUGGAGAGAACAAUUUCGCAAGACAUCUAAGUUAAAAAAAAAAAAAAGAGACAGUCAAUAGACUCUGCAUAAUGGCUAAAUGAAAUGCCAGAAAGAUAUUACUUUACAAAGCAUGAGCAGGUUCUGUAAAGGCUUGGUUUUAUAAGCAACAUAUACAGCUGCAUAAUACAAUGUCAUCUCAAACUCUCGACAUGGAGUAAACAACCAUUAGAGCUGAAAAAUUUGCAAUGUAUGAGAAAGCAUGACUGGGUUAUUGGCAACAGAAGGCCCUCCAAUAGCUAAAGGCCUGUCCAAAAAAGGACCAUAAACCAUACGACUCAGUAGAAUGAGGACCAGUUCACAGCACUCCCAACUCUAGGCAUGCUGGAGUCCUUAGUCUCUGCAUCCACUUUGAAUGUGGCGCCGCACACAUGGCCAGAGCUGUCCACCCUAGGAACCAGCUUCACCUCAUUCGGUGGGUGCUCAUAACUCCUCAAAACUCCGGAGCUGGUGAAGUCGUGAGUUGGAAAAGAAGGCAACACUAAAAGGUGAAUGAUUUGGCAGUCGAAAACCAUUGGAAGAACAACAUUGUAGGUGAAAAUGCACAAAUCAAAACAUGCAUAUAGGUAAAGAACACCAUUUUAAUCAUAAAUUAUAAAUUUAGGUUCGAAACCAAUUUUUCCAAUAAGAUGUCACCCAACAACUUAACAUUCUCCUCUGAACUCUGCUUAAUAUCAGCAGAGCUCGUCCAUCCUCACUUUUCACAUUGCAAUGCAUGGACGGAACUCCAGUGGAGCUGCAUCAACAAUCCGAAAAAAUAAUUACCUUUAGGGAAUGGUGCGAAAGAUUUUCCACAGCCUAUCUUCACGACUUCUGCACCAUCUGAGAGAACAAGAUUGCCUCCAGAAUCACUUCCCCAGAAGAAGGCAACACUUCAUAUGAUUCAGAGAACAAAAGGAUUAGAUAUAGAUCGCAGGUGGAGGGAGAGAUUGAGAGCGAUGUCCCAGAACGAAACCAAUGAACAUUAUUAUUACUCACAGAGGCCUCAAAAGCAGUUUUAGAAGAGCUGUCGAAGAGCACAAAAACAAACUUCCUGCUGAUGUCUCUCACAACUUGAUCAGGUAAGGCCUCCAAUCCCUCAGAGUUCUAUAAGCUUCUAUGAUGAUGAUGACCUCAUUUUCGGUUUUGUUCCAUCCAUAUUGCUGCUUAAGAAGAACUACAUUCUCUAUGUGUCCUUGGAACAAGCAGGAGAUAUUGACUGCAAACAAUCUGCCACAGAUGGCAAGACAUGUCAUAUCUGGAUGUGGGAUGAGCUGAUCGAGAAGAGAAGACAGCAGCGCAAUUUUCAUCAAUUAAAAAGCCAGUGAAUUUCAUUUUCUGGCUUUCAAAGUGAGCUAGAGACUCAAGUUCCAAUAUCAGUUUGUAUUACAAAUUGAAUUGAGGGAGCAGAAUCAAAAUUUAUGCCUUGAAAACCAAAAACUUACCCAAACCCAAGAAAACUUACUGCACAUCGAAGAAUGAAUCCUGGCGGUUAACAAAUGAAAGCGGAAAGAAUGAAAGAAGUUGGAAGCAUUACCUGAGGAACAAAAAGAAGUCAAUGGAGACAAAUCUAUUAUCAUGGCCCGGGCAUGAGCGAUUUUACUCCAUUGGAUCUGAAUGCUAUUAAUGCUGAUGAAAGGGAUCUCUUGGAGGGAGAGAGGGAGGGCCAUCAUCUGGCAAGUACCCCAAGUUCGCAUCCAUAUAUGAACAAAAAUUGUUGGGAUUGGGGCCAGAACUGAAACCGGGGAAAGGGUUGCCUGCAGAGGAGGCCGAAUUACUUGCCGUUCGAAAGAGCAUUGGCAUACAAGAAUAUCAUCAUCAUCAUCAACCUUUGCAAGCCAGUGCAACUGGAGAAUAAAGGAAGCUCUUGCUGGAUAAUCAAACAGCUAAUUAUCAAUUUUUCAGCUCUGAAUUUCAGUCAUACUUCAACACGAAAAACAAACCUUUGCACGCACUGGAAGACAUUACUUCGUAUUAAGUGUCGAACUGAAGAACAGAGACACGAAAUCGAUGCAUUCAAGAUGAAAGGACUUACCCAAACCCUUGAAAUAUGACCGUAGAUUGAAGGAUUGAAUCGUGGCAGAUAGCAAAUGAAAGCGAAAGUGGAUCCAUUUCACUUCAUCGGAUCUGAGAACCCACUCAAUGCGGAUGUCAGGGAUUUCUUGGAUUUUCGGAAAUUCACGUGGAGCUUCUUUGUGGAAAGUAUCAAUUUGUAUCGAGCAUCAAGUUGAGGAAGCAAAAUGGAAAUAGAUGCCUUCAAAACCAAAAACUUACCCGAACCUUAGAAAACUGACUGUACAUGGACAAAUCAAUUCACUGGAUCAUACGGUUAUCAAUGGCGAUGAUCAGGAUCUCUCGGAUGAAGGGCCAAUAGUCGCCAGUGCGUUUUGAGCAUCGAUUUUUCAGAAUCUCGCAUACCUCCGGAGCUGGUGAAGAAGCAUGCUGAGUUCAAAAAGGAAGGCAAUGUUAAAAGGUGAACGAUUUGGCGCUCGAAAACAAUUGGAAGAGCAACAUUGUCGGUUAAAAUGCACAUUUCAAAACAUGCAUACAGGUAAAGGACACCACUUUAACCUUAGCUUAUAAAUUUAGGCUUGGAACCAGUUUUUCCAAUAUGACGUCACCCAAUGACAUAGCAUUCUCCUCUGAGCUCUGCUUAAUAUCAGCAGAGCUCAUCCAUCCUUACUUUUUCACAUUGCAAUGCAUGGACCGAACUCCAGUGAUGUUGCAUUAAUGAUCCGUGAAAAUAAUUACCUUUAGGAAAUGGUGCUACAGUUUCCCGCAGCCUUUCUUCAUGACUUCUGUAUCGUCCGAGGGAACGAGAUUACCUUCGGAAUCACUUCCCCAGAAGAAAGGGCCACUUCUACCAACAUCCCGCAUGAUUAAGAGGACAUAAAGGAUUAGACAGAUCGCAGGUGGAGGGAGAGUUUGAGAGAGAUACCCCCAGAAUGAAACCAAUAAAACUAUUACAACUCACAGUUACAGUGGCCAGAAAAGUGGUUUUCGGAGGGCCGUCCAAGAGCACAAAUGCAAACUUUCCGGUGAUGUCUCUCAUGACCUGAUCAGCAGGGUAAGGCCUCGAUCUCUCGGAGUUCUAUAAGCUUCUAUGACGACAAUGACCUCAUCCGCGGUCUUGUUCAAUCCAUAUUGCUGCUUGAGAAGAGCAACAUCCUCCGUGUGUCCUUGAGACAAGCAGAAGAUGUCAUCCACAAAGCAAAACAUCUGCCACAGAGGGUAACAUGUAGAGUAACCGUUCAUGAAAAAAAGAAGCUUCUCAUUUUCAAUAUCGACCUGAAAGUGUCGAAAGAGAUUAUUUUCAUUUAGAAAUGUCACUAAAGAUAAUUUGGAACAUAGCAGUGCACCAAAUAGAAAUUAAAAGCUUGCUUUUUCGUGUUCUGUAAAAUUGGAAAUAAUGACACAUAUAAUUGACUACAUUAGUCCGACCUUAGCAGUGUUCGCACAUGGUCCUCCCAAGAGAUUUUGCCAAUCUAGAUUACCAUGAUAUCUGCAAAACAACCAUAGUGAAUGAGCUAAGCGCAUGAGAAAAAAAAGGUUUCUUGAACAUAAUCUUGGCAAAUGCAACUCUGCUUUUCUGACCACCUAAUUAUAUGGUCAAAGCACCAUGUUAUAUGUACAAUAACAUCCAAAAAGCCUUGGAGAAAGUAGAUAGAGAACCACAAGUCAGAUUACAAAUUAACUAUCCUCCGAUAGAGCUUCACAAUGUCAUUCGAAAAUUGCUUCAACAAAAAAUUUACAUAUGCAACAGUAGUGGAGAGGGAGGAGAUGUACCAGACAAGUUACACAUCGGUAGAAGCACAAGAUUUCCAGUUACACCAAAGGAACCCAUGUGAGCUUGAAGUUUUUGUUCCGGAACUCCCUGUAGGAAGAAUGCCACAUAAGAAGAUAUUUUCAGAUAAAAUGACACAAUGUAUGACGAAAUGAAAAUCCCACGGUAGAGUAAACCUAAACAACCGAUACUUUAAAUAACUAAAUAGAUUUGCCCCAGAGGUCACUGCUGACAAUGCAAACAUAGAGGCAGGCAGCAUAUUGUUACAAUCUCAACCAAACAAACAUAAGUAUGUCGGCUAAAAAAUUUUAGCAAGCUGUAAGACAGUUCCUAAUCCGCCAGAGAUCAAGACCCAAACGGGAAGGUGUCAACACCUAAAAUUUGGCAACUCCAUUUAAUUAUUUAUUUCACUAAUAUCGCUAACUAAGUUCGCAAUUGCAUUAUAAGCACUAGUAACAAUUUCAUAUCCACAUAAAUUGCGUUGGCCCGGUCAUGAGUUGUGCUUCGAAUUGACCCGGAAAAAUAAAAAUAAAGAGGAGCUCAUAGGGCAUACCAUAUACACUUCACGGAGCAUUACACAGGGGAAAGGAUCGUGAGAAGGGAAUAGGGCAAUUGGAGAAGCAGGUUCUUACCUCGUACGCCACCGCUGCACCUUGCCGAAUUCCUGCCGCCACUGCUUCGACGUCCAAUAGUGUGUUGCUACACGAUUGCUGCUGUCUUGACGCACCCGUUGAGCAUUUUUACGUGGCCGACAAAGCCCCCUGCCACUUCGCCAUGAAUGCCCACAAAUUGCCGGCGCCGCCCGCUUUCGCUGAACGCACAACGCCAAGCCUCCGCACUCAUCACUUGCUCGGCCGUAAUAAGUCAUUGCUGAACCUGAUUCCUCUCUCCUCGCGAGCUUAGCAGCCCUGCCAUGCCUCAGCUCAUUCGUCAGUGGCUCUGCGAACUUUUAGCGACUAUCUGCAUCAUUGCUGGAUGUACACCAGCCUCUGCCGAGCUAUUCUCAGCCCACACUGUCACGCGUGGUGGUAGUCCAACAGUCCACAGGGGCUCUCUCUUUGUCCGCGAUUCUGUUGAGACAUUGGCUUGCAUUGCUCUAUGUAAAGCUGUAGCGAUAUAAUAGCAUGUUUUACUUUGGAACUCUAAAGUUAAGUGAGCCAGGCUACAGCACUACUCCUAGGAAAGUGCCUACCAGUCCGCUCAAAGAAAAAACCUCAAGUCCCGCUAUGGGACGGGCUAAAGCGGAUAAUAUUUCAAGUGAGUUAAUCUAAGGAUGUUACAAAAGCAGCCCAUUUCACGGUUUUCUUACUCCACCCCAACUGCUCCUUGCUUCGCUGGUGUGUACCCUCAUUGGCUUCAGUGGGUCUCGUGUAAGAGGACCUUGUAGUCCAUUCGAGGAGGGGGAACUACAAAGCGACUCGCUCAGAAAAUCGGAGAACGCGCAAGCACUCAUACGUGGAAGCACUCACUAGCGGAUGCGUUGACGAACGCAGAUCCCUCGUUCAUCCAUUGCCCGCACGGCUUACGUUCUCUCUGUCUCCAUCACAAUCGCCACAUUGACUUAGCCAGUCUUUUCCAUCCAUCAUACGCGAGGAGUCAAGCGGCUGAUCAAAAGAGCAACAAUUGAUGGAGAGGUGCUUCAGUGGAGAAAGAGUGUCACAACGGGACAAAACCAAGUGCAAUUAGUGGAGACUUGGUUGCUAUUGAAGGAGACAACAUCACGUUCACGGGAUCCCACGGCCUCCACGCACACUUCUCACUCGUCUCUUUUCUGCAACAUCCAUUGUUCAGUGGCUCCACCUUUCGCGCGCUUUCCGCUCUCGGCAUCCUUCACCAAGCAACGCUAGCGUUCUGCAAGCACCCAUCCUGCUUUUCAAUCUCCGGUUUUCUCAGCUCAGCCCGGCGUUUCUGCUCGUGAUCUCCAUCGUUUCCUUGUACAUGAUUCACUUCUCGGUUCCAUCGCCAUCAUCAACGUGGUUCUCCCUUGGCAGAUACCCCACUCUGCCACGAGCUCGGCGUCAUCAGGUUAAACCUAAUCAAGGUAAGCUUAAGGUUGGUAUGAUUUUCGCUGAUAUUUAGUUCUAAUAUAUAAUUUCAAUUGCAUUUUAUUAGUUGAUAAGACCUUAGGAUAUGAUGAUUCAACUAUUUCCCCAUAUUAAGCAAGGCCUAUUAGGCCUCCAAACCUGUAGGCACUAAGGUCGGAUGUCUUUAGUGACUUUGUUAAGAUUGAUUUGAUUAAGUUGAAAUUCGAUUGCUUUGAAAUAGCACGUUAUCAAUAAAAUGAUGGAUUUUAAAUAUAAUGUACGUUUCCUUGCAUCACACGAUUAUCAAUUGUCAUUACACGCUACUUAUACUUUAGGGAUUUCAUAUUUAGAGCCAUGCGUGGUUAGUUUCAUGAUGCAUAUAGAUUUAGAGCAUAUUAAUCUAGAAAGCACAUAGAUUUCAUUAGGAUUUUAUAAAGAUCGCAUGUAGGCUUAGGGUUAACUGCUCUCACAUCAUAUAAUAUACGUCAUGUCACACGGAUAGUCUUAGUUUACUCGCAUUACAUAUUUCAUAUAGUAUAAUAUAUAUAUAUGGAGUUAGCGUUGCCUCAUAUAAUUGUUAGUCAUGCAGCUAAGUCAUUCGAGUGCUAAGAUUUAAAUUUAUUAUUUUGGUUAAAAAAUAUAAAAUAGCACAUCAUGAUUGGAUACAUUUAUAGUGUCCCAUCUUGCAUAUAGAAUGGAAAAUGCACGCACAUAUAAUUUAUGGACUUUAGGGACAUUUGUCUUUUUGUUAAGUAAUGAAAGAAAAAGGACAAAAUUGAAAUUGAGGAAGCAGAAUUGAUAUUGAUGCUUUCAAAACCAAAAACUUACUCAAAACCUAGAAAAUUGACUGUAGAUUGAAGAAUCAAUUCAUUGGAUCUGAAUGCCAUCAAUGUAGACGAUGGGGAUCUCUUCGAUGAGGGGCCAAUAAUCGCCGGUGAGUUUUGAGCAUCGAAGUUUCAGAAUCUCGCAUUUGUAUAUGUAUAGAUUUUGGAGGGAAGGAGGGAGGCCAUCUUCUGGCAAGUACCUCAACUUCGGGCAAUCUCUAAUCCAUAACUAUUGGAGAGAGGAGAGAUGGUUGCGAAGACCGCUUGAUAGACUUUCCACAUUCCUCAUAUUUCUUAAGUAAAGUUCGGUUAGAGAGGAAGGAAAGAGAAGACUCCAUGCAUCCUCGUCCUCCCAAGGAAACUGUGACAUCCAAAAUUUCUGAUUCUGUUUUCAAUUAAAUGAGACGGACUUUUCAUCGACGCGCUUAUAGUUCAAUUCUCCGAGCUGAUCACUCACGAGAUAACUAGUCUAUCAGGUGAAGUCGUUAAGGAAUUUAAAUGCAAUAGGCUUGAGAAUCUGACCAUGAACCGACUGCUCGAUCGUAUAAAUCUGCAAGGAUCAUUACGACACUGUCAGAAUCGAACAGAGAUCAGUAAUAGGUCGAUUCGACUGAGAUAUGUAAUUAGAGUGUGGGUGAUUCCACCUGAUUUCAAUAUCCUCGUCGACUGGCACUGAACUGAUUAUUCUGUCGUUUUGGGUACCCUGUGUCCGUAUUUGAAACCUCGAGAUUUGCACGACAAUCGGGAGUCGCUAAUGUGUCGAAGAUUUAUGUCGUGGCUUGAAAAUAAUCAACCACAGUCAAUUGCACUGAAAAUUUCCUAAAAGCUACUCGGUAUAUUAGGACGCGCUCAAAUCGCGCCAGAUUGAAAUUAACCGUGAUUUUAAACCCGGAUUCAGAAAUUGAAGGUUCUGGCAUGUCACAAUUCAUUUUAGGAACGUCGACUCAUCUCCAGAAGAUUUUUUCUACAAACCGAGAUUUUUGGCGAAAAAGCAAAGUAAGGCCGUUUUUGUUCGGGAUUGUCAGAGAGCCGUUUUUAAUCGAAUCUUUGGGAUGCAAGUUGGAUCAUUUGACAGGGAAAUUUCAUGAGAAGGCCGAGGACACAUGGACCGAUUUAUUUGAACUUCAAUUGAGCUUCAAUUGAUUGGAAUUAAGAGAGAAUUUAAUGGAUUGAAUGGUGGAAUGUCCAAAAUUCGUAGCUCCCAUGGCACACCACAUUUUGCACCUAUUGCCAAGCUUGUAGAGGAAGAUUGGAGGAGAGAGAGUGGCUGAGGUCAUGUGGUGUCAUGGUGGGGGCAAAGCCAAUGAGAAGAUGGCAAGUGUUGAGCUCUAGAGAGCCCAAGGAGACCCCCCACUCUUCAGCAGCUUCUUCUCCCUUAAUCCAAGGCUUUCUCCAUUGUUGUUGUCCAUCUUGAACUUCAAAGAACCAGAGGAGAUCAGCCCUCAGCCGCCCAAGACCGUCGCUUGCCCGCCGGACCUCUUUUUCCCCUUGUUUUCCCCUCGUUCCAGUUUCUGCUCCAGCUGACCUUUCGUCAAAGAUUCGAGUUAAAAGUUAUCUUCCCGUGAGAAUUAGCCAGCGCUCCACACACCAUCGUGACUAGCACACCCAACCCGUACCGGAGCACCUUGCCGCUUGCCGGAACGAUUCUCCGGUCGUCCCGAAAUCCGGUGAGAAUCUGCCGCUCGCCGGACCGCCUGGUUCUGCCCUGUUCCGCCUGUUUCGCGUUUUCUUGCUGUUUCGCCCCUUUCCGACCAUUCCUUUGCCCGUCCCAACCUCCAGCAAGAUCCCCAAGACCCCCGGGAGCCGCUGGUUGCCAACCACCCGCUUGCCGGAGCUCCGAUCGGCCUGUUUCCUCUCCGUUCAGCUGCUGUUUUCUUCUCCCGGUUCAACUCAGAUCAGAAGCAGAAAACCAGCAAGCCGUGUGAUAUUUGUGGCCCAUUUACAAGCCCUUCCCGGCCUCCAUUGGUGUCGCCGCUUUGAGGUUUAUCGACCGCCUUGGCGUCGUGGUCGCCGUGAACUCACCGGCGCGCAAAACCGGUGAGUUUAUCCUCUAAACCUUGCUUAGUAAGUUAAUCAUGCUUAAGGGGUGCUUAGAUUAGUCUAAUUAGGUUUAGGUGGUUAGAUUAGAUUAUUUUAAUGUAAAUUAGAUUAGUUGUAUGAUUAGUUUAAUGGAUGUUUAAUUAGGGCUAAUUGUGUGUUUAAAUUAGUGUAAUCUAAUUUAAGCCCUAAUUAAUUAUUUUUAAUUAAAUAAUUAUUUCGAAUUUUUAAAUAUUAUUUUAUUGUUUUAUAUUAUUAUAAUAUAAUAUUUAAUUAUUUAAUUUUCGGAAUUAAAUUUAAUUAUUUAAUAAUUUCGAAAAUUUUGCCGGGAUGGCCGGUUGUUAGAAUUUCGCGCUGAUCGCAGCAGUGCAGUCGGUUUAUGCUAAUUGUAUGCUUAAAUUGAGAAAUUGAGUGAUUAAUGAUUAUGGUUAAUUAUUCCAAAAGUGUGGAAUUGAGUGAUAUUGAUGAAGUUGUGGUAUUUAACUUGAAAAUACCCGGUGUUGGCUUCUAGCACCGUGAUUGGUUUGUAUGGCUAGUUUGUAUCGAUUGAUUGAAUGGUUGUUUAUGUGGGGAUUUAUCCCAAAGAUGUUGAGUAUCGAUAUUCGAUUGGAAUUUGAUUGUGAAAGGUUGUGAUUGGACCUAGAAAAUCGUCGAAGUUUGACUGUGCCCUGUUAGACCGUAAUCUGCCACCUAUUGAAGGUUGCGCCCGUUGGGCCGUAAAUUGCCACCCGAUAAGGGUCGCGCCUAAUAAGGCCGUAAUCUGCCACCUAUUAAAGGUCGCGCCCAUUGGGCCGUAAUUUGCCACCUAAAGAUAGGUCAUGUCCUUUCGACCGUGGUUUUUAGUGAAUGAUUUGAUUGAUUAUUGAAUUGUACUGACAUGCAGGAAUGGACUGAGGCGAGGUAAGUCCUCAAUUCUCUUUGUGUGGUUAGAGCACCCUGGGGCUUAUUUUCUUCCUAAUCGAGUUCUAGAGGGUAGGACUCACUGAGACAUCGUCUCAUCCCGGUUGUGGGAUAAUAUUUCAGGUCCCUAGAUGGCGGAUCCUCCGGAGCUUUUUGGUAGACCAGUGAGGGUCGCUGAGAGGAUUUUUGACUUCGCCGAUCCCGACUGAAGAGCUGGCGAAUGGACCUGUCUAGCUGAUCUUAGGACAGCUUAGUUUUUGAGGACUGAUCUUCUAUAGAUCUUUUUGUUAAUAGCCUAGUCCUGUAAAUCAGCUGGUUUGAUAUGUAUAUAAAGUAUGUGGUUGGUUUUGAAAAUGUGAUCCUGCUUUUCUAUCCCAAUUGAAUUUUGUCUGGGGAUUAUUUACUUGCUUCCGCAUGUGCAUUAAAAAGAAAGGGUCGGCGACGUGUCCUGGGAAGUCGCUUUUCUAUCGACCGCAGUGGGAUGUGCGCGUGCUCGAGGUUCGGGGCGUGACAGAAACCACUCCCCCUCUCCCUCCCCUCCCUUGCCAAAGUCGAUUUGGAGCAACUCAAGGGAUGUCAGCAGGUGUAAGCCCCAUUCUCUCAUUGGGGACUUCAAAUUCUCGCACCCUAAAAUUUCAAGGCUCUGUAAAUUGGGAGGCAAUCCUCCUUCGGGGAAGCAUUUAAUAUUUUGGCAAUACUAAAUUUGUAGCGAAUGGAGGGAUGUAAGAUUAUGCCAUUGAUUUGGUAGAAACUUUAUCUUUGGACAUUUACAAAGCGUAAGCUUUGACAGGGUGAUGGGAAGGGGAGGGAAGUCCUCUAUGUCCAAUGCUGGACAGUUCCAUAUUUCCAAUUUAGUGAGAUUGGAGAGCGUGUGAAGGCACUGGGGUAGGCUUCCUAGUUUCACACAAGUAGAAAUAUCCAAAGAUUUCAAUGAUUCUACAAUGAUCUCUUCCAGCGACUCCACUCCCUCACACUCCGAAAUACAAAGUGUCUUUAGAGCAGCAAGUCUAGCCUUGGCAAGCGGAAAGAAUGUCAUAGAAUCACAUUUACUUAUCUUCAGAGAUUCAAGUUGUGAAAUUAGGUUAUUGCUGCUAAGGUCAUAUGGAGGAAUGGUUUGUCCCAUGAUUUUUGGACAAUUCCGAAUGCUCAAAUCUCUAAGUGUGUGCAUCUUGCUUGGAAGCUUUUCUAAACUCGUGCAAUUCUUUAAUUCCAUCUUUUCAAGGUUGCAGGGCAGCUCUAUCUCUCCUUCUUCACCCACAAAAGAUGUGAAUUGAGGACAGCUUUCGAUUGCUAAACUCUGGAGGCAAGUAAGAUUUUGAGUUUCAUUUCCAUCUUGCCAUAAGUAUGUUAACUUGUCACAACUUAUUAUUUCAAGCUCCUUUAGCUUGACCAAGCUACUCAUAAACCCAUGAUCAAAGCAAACAAGCCUUGGUAGAUGUUGAAUUUUGAGAACGGUUAGAGAAGGUAUGUUAACCACGAUCUUUAAAAUCUCUCCUUCUCCAACCACAAAAGAUGUGAAUUGAGGACAACUUCUGAUGGCUAAUUCCUGGAGGCAAAUAAGAUUUCGCGUUCCAUCUCCAUCUUGCCACAAGUAUGUUAGCUUGUCACAGCUUCUUAUAUGAAGCUCCUUUAGCUUGACCAAACGGCUCAUAAACCCCUUAUUAAAGCAUAUGAGCUCCGAAACAUUCUCAAUUUUGAGAAUGGUUAAGGAAGUUAGGUUGACCAAGCUCUUUAAGAUCUCCUUGUUACAAUCCCUAAGGUGUAAAUCACAAAGAGAUGGAAGAUGAACGACAUUGGUUGAGUUAUUCAAAUGCGAGCAUGAAUGAAUUUCCAACUUUAUGAGAUGAUCAAGUUGACAAGGCAAUGUCCCCAUCAACUCUGGACAUCUUCGAACAACAAGAUGCUGAAGACAGGAGAAUGGUACUUCUUCUUCUUGGCCACCAACAUAAAGAGACCAAUCUUUCCAUGCCGACAUCUCUUCAAACUUCAAAGUUGUUAAGGAUGGGAAAGGCCUUUUAGUCCCACAAAAUUCGGAGCCUAUCAUGCUUACUACAUGUAGACCUUCAAUAGAUAAUUCUCUGAGUGAAGGGAGCUGUCCAAGUGAUGGCAGCGAUCUAACAUUAGGACAACCAUGCAAGCACAAAGACACUAUCUUAGAAUAGGAUGGACCAUUUAACCAUGAUGGAAAUAUUCCACCACCAUAAUACGAGAUAGUGAGACUUUCAAGAUUAGUAUGAGGUCGCAGGGAGUGAAGAACCCGUGCUUUGUGCCCUAUAUUCCGGAAAUUUCCAAAAUUUUUAUUCAAAGACAAGAUUAAGUUGCUAAGGCCUUGCUUUCUAAACAAAUUAGCAUCAAUUGCAUCUCUAACUUCUUCCACCUUCUGCAAUUCAGAUAUGAAGAAUUCUCCUUGAAGAUGUUGCAAGUUUGUUAACUCCUUUAACUUUGACCCUUUCUCUGGUUCUACCACGAACUUAGACAAGAUAAUUAUAUUCUUCAAAUUACCCAUACCCAAUGGCAUCUUUUUUAGACUUGAUGUAUCUCUAAGGUCAAGAAAUUGUAAAUUGACCAAUUUUGUGAUACCUGGAGGCAACAUUGAAAGCUUUUGACAACCUCUUAAGAUCAAAGCUUGUAAUUUGCACAAGGCAUCAUUGACUCGGGUAACCUUUCAAUAUUAGUAUAAGAGAAAUUAAGAUAUCGAAGAUGAUUUAAAUCACUAACACAUUCCGGUACCUCUAUGAUGGAACAAUAGCAUAAUGAGAACACCUUCAAGUACUUAAAUUUUGUUAGCAAGUCAUACAACACCUUGUUGGAGAUAGAGAAUUUUCUUGAGCCCCCACCAAUCCCAUCGCGCAAUAUUAUUAGACUUCUUAGUACCUUCAUUCCAUCAUAUGCUCUCAAGCAUCUUGAUGUAACAUACCAUGAUGAGAUGAAUGAUGCAUAAAGAGCUUUCUUAUCAAGAGAGGUGUCAUCUUCCUCAUCCACCAAUUGAGACUCCCUAGAAGUAAAGCAUAUUCCGCCCGCAAUCGACUUUGCUAGGUCAUUCAAAAGAUCGUGCAUCAAAAACUUCGAUGUGUUAACACUGGAUUGUUGCAAAAAGGAUCUAGAUACUAACUCAUCGAAGUAAUUCCAUCCUAAGCUCAAGAUAUUCUCCUUUGCUUUUCGUCCAUCUAAAAAGCCCUCUGCUAUCCAUAAGAGUACUAGUUCAUGCCUCUCAAUUUCAUAGUCCUUUGGAAAUAUUGCGCAAUAAGCAAAACAUCUCUUCAAAUAAGAAGGAAGAUGGACAUAGCUCAAUUUUAAAGCUGGGAGAACCUCAUCAUUUUUUUCCAUCGUGGCAUCCCAUAUUCUAUUAUUUAAGAUAGCUUCCCAUUCGUCAAGAUUUUCUUUGUUACGUAGGAGACCACCCAAUAUUUUUGCUGCUAAAGGUAAACCUUUAUAUUUUUCAGCUAAUUUCUUACCUAUUGCUUCAAGAUAUGCAUGCCUCCCAAAAUUUCUUUCUCCUAGAGCAUGAUGGGCUAAUAAACUUGUACAAUUAUCAAGGGACAACUCCUUCAAAGGAUACGGUGAAGCACCUGUUAUGGAAACAACAGAAUGGUUGCGCGUUGUGACAAUGAUCUUGCUUCCCUUAGCCCCCGCUUCAAAAGGCUUUAGGAGGGCAGUCCAUUCUCCAUACUUCUCAUUCCAGACAUCGUCUAAAAUCACGAGAAACUUCUUUUCAGGUAAACUGUCCUUCAACUUAACUUGAAGCCCAUUAAGAUCUUCACCCUCACAGGGUAACCCGAUGACUGACCGCAAAAUAGUUUUUGUUAUGUUGAGGACAUCAAAAAAAUCUGAAACACAAACCCAUACUCUCCUCUCGAAAUAGCUUUUCACCCUGACAUGAUUAUAUAGUUGUUGAACCAAGGCCGUCUUUCCAACACCACCCAUCCCAACUAUGGGGACUAUGCUCAAAGUGGCAUCAGAAUUUUGGACAUCACCAAUCAAUAGUUCAAGUACUUGUGCUUCUUCCUCCUCCCUGCCCAAAAAUUGAAGUUCUGGUAGAGAAGUGCUGGGGAGCCUUUUGUAGGUGUAGUGGGAUCUGUGCACAACAUUCUCUCUCAAGCUUAGGAGAGCCUUCCUGGUAAUAAUCUCUUCAAACCUACCCUUCAUCUCUUGUGACUUAGUUUCAAACAUGAGCGAGCACGAUCGGCUAAACAAAGAGAACUUCCUUUUCAACCGACCUCCACUUGUGCUGGAUUCUGCCUUCGGCUUGGCUUGACCAACCUCGAUCUCGAACUCAUGAAGCAAGUCUUCUAUGUCAUAGGCCAAGUCCCUAACAUCAUCGAACCAUAGCUUCGUUAGACGGUCAUCACUCAGUUGCUUGUUCUCUACAUCAUCUAGCAUUGCAUUGAUUGUUUCUAGCAUCCCCUUCAACAUAUGGAGCGAGGUGGUGUCAAUUCUUUCUUGUAGCACAUAGUCCAAUCCUUAAGAAGUCAACUUGUCGAGUAGGACCUGACAGAAGGAACCCAAAAAAAUUUCUCCAAUGGCCAUGGGUGAAUCAGUCACUAUAGUCUGCAGAGAACAAGGGUUAUGGAGAAGCAAAGUGAUAGUGAGUUAAUCGAGAGAUAAAACUAUAAAGUCUAGGAAAUCAAGACUUUCACCUACCAAAAAUAUGCAACAAAUGCCAAGACUUUCAAGGAUAUGCAUCAAAGAUUAGGCAAAUAAAAGUAAAAUACUUUUGUCCUCAAGUGCUUUAUUCUGUAUUAUUUAGAGAAUAUUCAAAGACCUUACUAGAUAUCGUGUACCUUCUUUGUUUAGAGAGUGAAUCAAAAGUGAAAGAGCUAAUGAGAAAGAAACUUCAAUAAAAUCUAGGAAGACCAAGACUUUGCAAGACACAAAUUAGAGUUUGUUGAUUCACUUUUCACAUCCCUCGUCUUCUUUCACAAUGUGAAUGUCUCUUGUUUCUCUACUAGUAGAAUUUCCACGCGUUACAUGUCUUGAUUGAAAUUGACAAUACUAUAAUUUUCGUCCAACUCUUUUCUAGUUCAUUUAUAUUGUGAUUUUUCAUUCAUUACUCUAGAAUUAUGUCAGAUAUUUUCAUGUAUCUUUUCAAAACUAAGUUUUAUAAAAGGAAAAAAAAAAAGCAAAGAGAAAAACUAAAAAGAAAAUAAAGCAAAAAACUAAAAAAGAAAAAAAAAUGCAAAGAUGGGGGCAAGAGAGAGCACCAUCGUCUUGUAAUAUUUAAAGAUUUACCUCUGAUAUUUGUAGUUUCCACAAUCAUAUAUCUGUUCAUGUAUAUAAACCAUAAACUCAUGAAGACCGACUUUUCGUUAUACAACUACAACUCAUCAAUGACGGCUUACUUUCUCAGGAUAAGUGCACGAGAAAUCCGAAAACUUGUCACCAAAGUGCAAAUAACUUCUAAACUUGUCUGUUCAUCUACAUUGAAGGAGGAAUCGAGGGACUUCUUAUAUUUUCAUAAUAUACUCAAAUUAUUUCGGUUAAUAAUUUUCUUAAACAUAUGUGAAUCUUUACUCCUAUAAUUGCCAAGUGAAAGCCUAUAUUGAUCACAUAUUCACCAAUAAAGUAGAAAACAAAGACAUUGAAAUCACUAGGGUAUUCAGAAUAUAUGGAGAAAAUAUGCAUGCACUCAAAGUUGAUCAUUGAAGAAAAAUCACCUCUUAGCCUCUGUUUUGGAUGCCCAUAAGAAAAGGUCCUCUCUUGCAUGCACAAGCCAAAAGUCUCAAUCUAAAAAAGAGGUCAAAAGGUGAUUUUUCAUCAUAUGAUCAACUUAGAGUGCAAGCAAAUUAUCGUUAAAUAAUCUAUUACUUACUAGUGUUUUGUCAGCAUUUUUUACAUCCGUACAUUCUCAGUAACCUUAUGAUUUCAAUAUCUUUGUUUUACGCGUUAUUGGUGAAUAUGAAAUCAAUGUAGGCUUUCAUGUGGUAGUUAUGUGGUGAAAAUUGGCAGCAACAUGCACAACAAUGAUUUGUUGAAGGUAUUGAAGUAGUAGUUGAUGAUCACGAAUCAUUUGAUAGGAGAAUCGUGGUCCUUUGUAUGAUUUUCCUGUCCAUAAGUGUGAUGCCUAGAGUAUAAUUUCUAUUAGAUUGUACAUUGUUAGUUGGUGAUGCUUGACCUUUUUCUUGUUGAGUGAUGAAUAAGAAUCCUUGUGAACUCGCACCGACUAAAAUAAAGAUUGAAGAUCCAACUAACAAUGGCAUCCUUUUUUCUAUUCUACAUUAACAAGUCAUCAAAGACAGCUAACUUUGAUUGUUCAAUAAGAGAACAGAAACAUGUCCUUUGGGACAAUAGGAAAAAGAGUCAAGUAGACCAAUUGAAGCAAGUUACUUAAUUUUACUAUGGAAAUAGUAAACGACUCAUAGAUCACCAACUAAUCCAUCAAGCAAGUUGGUUUGGGCUAACUUUUUAUGUUCAAAGGAGCACGAUUCUCCCCUUAAGUGAUUCACGAUCAUCAACAACUACUUCAACACCCUUUAGCAUAUCAUUGCCACAUAAAAGCCUAUACUAAAAGAAAAACCAAUAAAAAAUUUGUAAGUUAUAAAUUUUUUAUGAAGAUAUGCAUUCCCUCUAAGUUGCUCAGGUGAAGAAAUAUCACCUCCUAUCUUUAUAUACAUACCCGAUUAAACCUACGAGUUUAUAAACGUAAGUCAAUCUCAAAAGAAACCCCUAGGCAACCUAACUCCAUUAGUAAUAGGGCCCACCACGAGAUGUCGCAUCUCGCGCCCAUCAAAUCAGCACUUAGCAGAUCUCCACGCCACGGCCUUGAAAAAGGUUAGCCCACGACGGGGUAAGAAUAAAUCUUAGCGAGUUAAACCCUAAGCCCAACUAGGGCGCAAAUUCACUCAGAGGCGGCCCAAGCACACAUCACAGAGGACUUGUCUCACCUCAGUUCCUUCUUGCACGUCGGCAUAGUUCAUAUCACAGAUGCAUAUAAUAAAUGCACAUAUCAAUUGGAACGUCUCACACAACUCAAUCAAUCACAGAGGUCCCGAUUAUAAGGCCAAAUCGUUAUGACACGUCUCAUUCCAUGUCACACAAUUUUGUCCUAUAACUAGGUGUGCUUAUCUCAAUCAGUCAUGCGUUCCAAUUGAUUAUUGCCCACACAGGCACAAUCUACCCGACACACAGCAAUCUUCUGGUGUAACCGAGCAUCAUCUCUCACCAUCGAGCAUGGCAAUGUCUACCUCAAGACGGUAUUCCACAUAGGAGCAUUGGCCCAGUCUCUACUGCGACCGACAUCGAUUGUUAGGGGCAUUUCACAUAGGAGCAUCGUCCACUUGAUGCACAUUGGGUGACAGGGUUUCAUAACUAGCACAUGACCAUCCACUCCCGGCCAAGGACAUCGUGCAUUGCACUCAAAUGCCUCAAUUUAAAUUAUGUAUUUGGCCUAUUUUCUCUGUAUUAAAAACGCCCAGUGAAAAUAAUCGUGUGUGGGUACACGAUUAGAUUGAACCAAAAAAAUUGAUAUCCUCCAUUCUAAAAUCCCACUAGUUAAUAUAGUAUCUUAAAAUAUUUUCGAUGUCAAAACCCAACACCUGGUAUUUUCUAAAUAAAUACUAAAAUUUCACAUUUGUGAAAUAAUAAUUCAAGAAUCAACACCCAACAUCAAAUUGCACAAACUAAUUGCACCACAACAAUCAGCACAAAAUUCUAAUAACCGGCUAUCCCGAUAUAAUAUACAAUAAUUAUAAAUAAUUAAAUAAAUUAUAUUUGAUUAAAUAAAUAAAUUGCGGUUAAUUAAACUGAACCACUUAAUUAACCUGACCAUGUAGGCACAUCAUCGACCAAAUCAACUCUUAGCUUCCAUCAUAUAGCUAAAACACCAAAAUCUCUUUUUAAAAAUAAACUUAGUAACCCUUUUUCUUUUGUUCAAACAUUCCGAAAUAAAUUCGUACGGAGUCCCGUAUUUGAAAUUAACCUGCCAAAAUUUGCACACACCUUGUAUAAAACUUCCCCGUUUUAUUGAGCAAAUAAAACUUAGCAUCCAAACCCGACACCAUGUUUCUUUUCUAAUUUCUUUUCCAACCCCUUCUUUUGAAAACAAACCUUAGCAACCCCUCUUUUUUUUUUGUUCAAAUGUUUAGAAAUAAAUUCGUAGGUGCUCACGUACUCAAAAUUAACCGUUAAACUUUUCACGCACUUAGUUUAAAACCUUAUAAAUUUAUUGGACAAAUAAGUUUUGGUGUCUGGACCCAACACCUCAUGUAUUUUCUAUUUAAUAGUCCAAGAGGUCACCUUUUAUAAUAAUACUAAAUAACCAACAUAAAGUAAUCCAUCUCAUCAUCUCAUACCUAAGUUCUCAGCAUUCCAAAAUUCAGCCAAAUCACUAAAUGCAGCUUAUCCAGCAAACACGACACCAAGAAUAAUCACAAAGCCACUACCGGCCCUAACCGGCAGAAACUAGUCCACUCGUGCGUCUCCAAGUUUAAAUCCAGAAACAUAAUCAAAAGAGUUCGAAAAUUUUUCAAAUUUUAAUAUGUUAUAAAGGACACUUAAACGAAAUUUUUUCGUGAAGACACCUUAGCCCAGAUAUUUCUGGAUUAAAAGUAGUAAAUCGUCCAAACCGUUACAAAUUUUUUUUCCGUUUCCAGAAAUUACGUUUUCAAAAACAAACUUGGUUCGAGAUCCAAAAAUUAUCUGUUUGAUCUAAAAUUUGACUAUGUUAAACUAGAAGAUAUGAAAAAUAACUUUUUUGAAGAAACCAUUUCAACAUUUAAACCAUAAGAGUUGAUAAAAAUCCCUUGAAUCCCAAAAGGUCACUAAUUCCAGCAAAAACAGAGGUUCUGUUUUGUUUUUAACAAAGUUGAAACCAUAUACUUUUGAAUCCAUAAAAUCUUGGGAAAAAGAUAUGUUAUAGCUGAGGAUGUCUAAAACAUUUAUUAAUAAGGAAUUAACCUCAAAAUUUCAACACAUUUUGAUCCACAAAAAUGGUAAAUGGCGAGGGUCCAGUAAACCUGAUUCAAAUUUCACUAAUUCAACUUGCUUAACACUAAUCCUUCUUAGCACUAAUUUAACCAUGCUAAUUAAUAAUAAUCUAACCCACUAAGCGCAAUUAAUAACCUAAUUAAGGAUUAUAAAGUUAAUUUGCCGGAUUAGCGAGUCGAUGGGUCCACGGUGACGACGGUGCGAAGGCGACCAAGAGCCGAGCCUAUAGUGACUCCAACGGAGAUCCGACGGUGGUUGAAUAGGCCCUACAAGCCCUCAGCCAAGGCUGGUUGGCGCUUGCUGUGGGUUGGUUGGUGAAGGGCUUGGGCUGGUCGCGGGGGCUAGUGUGUGGCUGCGGGACUGAGCUGGAACAGGCGGCUGUUCGGCUAGAGCUGCUGGGCUCAAGGUGAGCUGGGCUGAGGUUGCCGCUGGAGCUGCAGCGGUGGAGGAGCUGCUGGCUUGGCGUGAGCUUGGCUGUGGUGAGUUGAUGAUGAAGACGUGAGGUGAGGGUGCAGUAGCGUGAGUGGAGAAGACGGGGUGCUGGAUGGUGGGUGGGUAAGGCGUGGGGGUGAUACGAUGGUGGGGAGGGGUAACGGCAGCAAAGAAAAUUGAAGAGAAUAGGACCAAAAUUCAGGGGAAAGGAAAAACGUGAGGAAAGGAGGGAAAUGGAGAAGAAGAAGGGGGAAGUGGGCUAUUUGGUUGGCUGAGCAGGGGAGAAAGCGUGCGUGAGAGAAAGAGAAAGAGGGAGAGAGAGAAGGGGGGGGGGGGGGGGGAAGAAAGUCCAAUGCACAACCCAACCAAAGGAAGCCUAGCUCAAAAUAUCAACCCAUCAUCACAUUAACCCCAAAGUCUUCAUCCCCUUAAGUUAAUUGGUCCUCCAAUCACCAUUUAGCUUCAAUUUUCACCCCAAAUAAGCCAAUAUGGGCAGCCAAAAUAGCUCCUCCUUCUCCCAUCCGAAUUUCCACUUUUAUUUUCCAAAUUGUUCGAAUCGAUUUUUCUGUUAAAUUCCAUACUCGACGGAAUUUCUCCAAAAGAUAAGAUGACAUCAUAAAAAUAAAUCGUGACACAUUCGAACGUCUGAUUCUUGAAACCAAAUUCAAUUUCGUGGUUAAAAUCGACCGAACGCGAUUUUAGUACAACCUAACCUACCGGGUAGCUUUGGGGGAUUUUAUCGUGUUUGACUCAUGAUCGUUAAUUUCUAAUUCACGUUUGUGCAUCUUCGACUCAUCGGCGACUCUUGGUUGUCGUAAAAAUCGCAAGAUUUCAAUUACAGGUACCGAGUACAUAAUUGACAAAAAAUCAGUUUAGUGCCGUUCGACGUGAAUUUUGCAAUCGUGUGUGAUUCCAAUUUAAUUACGCCAUUCCAUCGAAUCGAGCUAUAUCGAUCACUAAUUGAUUAUAACAAUGCCGUAUUGAUCAUUGCUGAUUAUCACGGUCGAGCAAUCUAUUUUUGAUCAAAUUCUCAAGUCUAUCGCGUUUUUAUACCUUAACAAAAACAUAGUCUCUUCGGUCUAACUCAAAUUGCUUGUCAUGACAAUAUACUGAAAAGGACUUUUCAUUAGGAAGACUAAGACUUUAUCGGAUAUCAUGUACUGUUUUUUUUGUCUAGAAAGUGAAGCAACAAUUAAAAAGAGUUAAUGGGGAAGAAACUUUAAUCAAUUUCGGAAAGACCUAGACUUUCCAAGGUGCAAAUUGGUUUCAUUGUUCACUAUUCACAUCCCUUUUGUCACGUCCCAAUGUCAAUGUCUCUUUUUCCAUUUCAAGUAGACUUUCCACACGUUAUAUGGCUUGCUUAAAAUUAACUAUACUAUAAAUUAGUAUGAAAAGGAAGCUGAGAAGGAACCAAGAACUUCCAGUGGCCGUGGGUGAAUCAAUCACCGUAUUAUUGAAGCAAAGUGAUAAUGAGGUAAUGAGAGAGACAACUUUAAAGUCCUGGAAGAUCAAGACUUUCACCUACCAAAAAGUUUAAACAGAGACCAAGACUUUCAAGGAUGCUUCAUGUUCACCUACCAAAAAGUUUAAACAAAGACCAAGACUUUCAAGGAUGCUUCAUGUCCAAAAGUGCUAUGCUCAUGUGAAAAAACCAUAAAUUCAAAAAGACUAAGACUUUACUAGAUAUCAUGUACCUUCCCUUCUAUAUAGUGAAGCAAAAGCUAAAGAGAGCAAAUGAAAAAGAUAGACUUAUUUCUUUUUCUUUUUUUCUAUUCUAACUCUCAAUUCACUUUCAAGCUUUUACCUUAGACUUUACAGGAUGCAAAUUGGCAUUGUUCCUUCACUUCUCACAUCCCUCCUCUUCCAUCCAUACAUGAAUGCCUUUGUUUUUCAUAUUAGUGGAAUUUCCCCAAGUGUUGAGAGUCAUGCUUAAAAUUGACUAUUACUAUAUUUUUCGUCUAACUCUUUUCAUGCUUAAUAUUACUGUGAUUUUUCAUUCAGUAAUCUCUCUUGUACUUGUUUAUUAGAAUUAUUUCUAGAUUUCCAUGUAUCUUUUCAAAUUCAAAUUUAAUAAAAGAGAAAAAAAAGAAAAAUAAAUUAAAGCAAGAAUGGGGCAAGAGAGCACAUCACCGUCCCACUGCCACUGCCGUGCCGUUGCCAUCAGCAUCGCUGCUUAUAGUCACCUUCAUAGACAACAUUUCCUUGAGAUGCUAUUCUUAGAGUGGUUUAGGAGUUAAAAGAAUAAUCAGUAAGUAGUCUAAGCUCUCGUUCAGUUUACAACCUGAACUUUUUUUUUUCAAUCAAGAAGCUCAAUUUUUCAAAAUUGCCUCAAUUUGAGGCAUUGGUUAAAUAACUUGCCAUGCUAUAUGAUUUUGCUUAUAUGACUCGUUACUCAACAAAAGUUAAACAUAAUAAAUGACAUGGCUCCUUACCCUAUAGAUUGAGUGAUGAGGAGAGAAAAAAGUGUGUUGAGUUAAACUAUCUUAGCGUCUAAUAUAUCUCGGCUGAUGUGACAAUAUCUCAAGGUACCAUAUCAGAUGUCAAUAUGACAGUUAGUGAUUAUUUAAUGGUGUUAGUAUCAUAUCAAUAUUUUCGUCGCAAUUUUACUAGAGCCCUUAACCUAUCAAAAAAUUGAGGUACUUGACUAAAUCAAAAACAUAAUUUACGGGCUUGAUUACAAAAAGAAUAAUAAGUCAGAUACUUGUCCGGCAUUGUCCAAGAAUUUAUCGUGCGAUGAUUGGUCUAAUUUUAAAUCUCAAAGGCACUUUUGUUUACGUGAAACUUAUUCUACAAAUUCAUCCUCUCGAUUCAUUGCUUGGCCUCACUUUAAUGAUCUCUUUUCAAAGAUUUUUCUUUCUUUCAUGUGAAAGUAUAUUAAAUAGUUUUGUUAAUUUCAAGCUGUUGCAAAAAGAUUGCAGUGGCUAAUGUCAAGCCCAUUUGAAGACUAUAAAGUUCUCAAUGUUGAUUUCCUUAAGAUCUUCUGGUAUCAUUCAAACAUAAAGUAUUGCUCUUGCCCCUUUUUCUUGGCCAAUUCCAUUGCCUUCCCUUUGUUCUAUUCAUACAAAACUAAUCAAGUAUGUGCAAGUAGUUUGGCCAAAAUCAGAUCGAACCAGUCUGAAUACCAGUUCACUCGCUAAACCAAUGAAACAUACCGUAUUCCAAAAUUGGAUCCACCUAGUUUUAGAGUCCCAUGGGUACAGAACUGGGCUUUUGGCUAUAGUUGCACGUGGAGGGACUCGAGCACUCAACUCCUUGGAUCACCGGCACUUCACUUUACCACAAGGCCCAACGAUUCAUAUGUCCACGGGCAAUCAACGACAUUUAAAAUCUAUAAUCGCUUGCUCAUGACAUCAUCACCGGUUUGCCCGUAGUGCAACCACUUGGACCGCAAAUUGGCUAUUGAAUGGCCUUCUGUUGCUUAUAACCCAGUCACCUGUCACGCCCCGGACCCCGAGCGCGUGCCCAUCCCUAUCUGGUCGAUAAAAAUUUGCGACUUCCCAGGACGAGUCGCCGACCCUUUCCAUUUUAUUGCACAUGCGGAAGCGAAAAGAAAUCCCCUGACAGUAAUCAUCUCGGGAUAGAAAGGCAGGAUAAUAGAUUCACAAACAAACAUGCUUUUAUAUAAACACUGAGUCAUGCACAAAGGUCUCUGGCCAAAAGACUACAAAAGACUGGCCUUCCAAAAAGAAGCGGUCCUAACUGACCUACGCUUCCAAUCACCUCCUCUCAGCUCCAGGUCCUCCACUCGACGACCCUGAAAAUGUUGUCCCACAACGGGGUGAGAUAUCAUCUCAGCGAGUCUAAGCUCUAAACCCCAAUUAGGAGGGAAAUACGCCAAGAAGCGUCCUAAGCACGCAAUCACACAAUCAAGGAGACUUACCUCGUCUCAGAUCCACCCUGCAGGUCAGUACAAUUUAUCUCAUAGACCACACGAGAGCAUGAGCAACAAAUAAGCUCCAAUAAUUGAAUCGCCACCCUCAAUUAAUCAUGCGUUCUUAGAUUUGAUCUCGGCAUAUAGCACGGCCUACUCUCAGUUCGGCGGUCUUCUGGCAUUGCCAGGCAUCGCCUCCCCCCAUGGAGCGCGGCACGUCUCUUUAUCAGACGGCUUUCCCGAAGGAGCAUAGGGUCCAGAAUCAACUGCGACCGGCUUCCCGUUGUCCAGGGGGUAUCCCACAUAGGGAUAACGUCCAGCUCAACAGCCCGGGACGAUUUCUCAUAACCAUCACACGAUCACUCAAAUAUGGCCCAGGGCACCGUGCAUUGCACUCAAAUGCUUCAAUUAAAAUGGUGAGCCUGGCCUUUUUCUUCAUAUUAGAAAUUCACCUGAAAUUACUCGUGCGUGGGUACACGGUCAACUUGAUCCAGAAAAAUUAAUAUUCUUCCUUUUUGAAAUCCCACUAUUUCAUAUAGUACUAAAAACUAUUUUCGGUGUCAAAACCCGACACCUGGGAUUUUCUGAAUAAAUAUUGGAAAUUCACAAUUUUUGGAAUUAAAUACCAAAAAAUCCAAUCAGCACUCAAUUUGCAUAAUUUAACAUUCAAUUGCAGAAAUUAACCACACCAUUGCAAUCAGCACGAAAUUCCGGUCACCGACUAUCCCGGCCUAAUUUCCGGAAAAAUAAUUAAUAAUUAAAUAAUUACUGAAAUUAAUUAAAUAAAUCAAUUUAAAUUCUACAAAUAAUAACCUAGGCCAAAAUCAUUAAAUUAAUAACCAAUACGGACUCGGAGAAAUUCCCGAACCCUACUAGAUAAAUAGCACAAUUUAUCUAGGCCUUAGCUAAACCAUGCUAACCACCUAACAUGCUCAAUUCAAUUUCUAAUUUAAUCUAACUAACCACCUAAUUCCUAAUAAGAUAAAUCUAAACACCCCUUAAACGUCAUUAACCUACUAAGCAGAGUUUAGAGUAUAAACUCACCGGUGUAUCGCGAAAACCGGUUCACCGCGACAACGACGCGACGGCGGCCGAAACCUUAAUUUUCGGCGGCGUCGGCGGACUCUCGGACCGGGCCUAAAACGGGCCCAACAAAUCUCAACCCAAAUCUGAGAUUUGUUUCCAACUUGGGCUGGGCUUCACUUGAUUCUCGGGCUGAACUUCGGUGGACUUGGGCUUCAAUUAACGCGGGCUUGGAAAGGCUGAGUUGAGCUUGAAUUCAAGUGGGCCUUAAGCUUGCAAUGGAAUUGGGCCUGAGCCUGAAUCAUUUGGGCUUUGCUGGGUUAAACAAAAUGGCCUUCUCUGGUUUCUUGGACGGGCCCAACUGCUGGGCCGUGAAAUCCACUGGACUGAGCGCUGCCAACCGAAGCAGAAACGGAGCUGCAGGUCUUCGGGGCUUGCUGGCUUAGCUGGCGUCGAGCUGAAGGUGACGCUGGCGAAGACACAAACGAAAGAUGGAGCAGGGAAGCAGCUGGCGGUGGAGUCUUCGAGCGGAUGAAGUCCACGGCGUUAAUGGGCUGAAGAAAUCGAGCAAAGGGACUUCGGUGGUGGUGAGUCACGGACGGUGGCAGCUUCUGCCGUGAGCUGCUUCAAGGAGUUUCGGUGGUGUGUGGCUUCGGUUGCUGCACCCGGUGGUCAACUAAGGAGAGGGAGAGCUUGGGUUGUUGACCGAUGAUGGGGGCUUCGCUGGCGAGCUGGUGGAGAAGACGCGAGGAGGGGCAGAAACGUGGACUGCUGCGGUCAGUUAAGGGAAAGAUGAACUGAUUUGUUGACUCACGUGCUGGCGUCGAUGGAAGCAGAUGGAGAAGCAGCUUCGGCCACUUGUUGGAGUCAACACACGGGCAGCUUGCUCGUGUCUUCCAUUGACUGUGGGUGCUGGAACUUGCUGGCCAACACUCGGCAGAAGGAAGCAGGGCUCGCGGACGUGGAGAACAAGAGAUGGUGGGAAUGGCAGAGAGCGUGGGAAGGGAGCUUCGACAAAAACGAAAGAAAGAAAAGGACAGAUGCAAUCGGUCUUCAGCUCAUCGCACGAAGGGAGAGACGCGGUGGAGAGGCGUGUGAAGGAAGCCAAGGAGGGGCCCAAUUAUGACAAAUCUUAGCCAUUCCAUUAAUUGGAUGUUCCCUAUUACUUUCCAAUCAAUUAUCCACCAAAAUAACUCAAUUUAAGUGCAAAAUUCCAUCCCCAAUUAUUGAUCCGAAUUUCACUAAUUUUUAGGAUAAAUUCCUUCACUCAAUUUCCCAAAUUGAGGUCCAAUCUUGAUGAAGAAAAAUCCCGAACGAUUUUCUAUAAAUUCCUGACACUCACAGGCUUGGCUUAGAAGUCCCAAUUUCCAUCAAUUUAGCCCAUCUGAAUUUCCGCUGAUUUUCCGUAACGUCCGAAUCAAUUUUCCGCAAAAAUCCCGGAAUCUCUGAAAAUUCCUCGGAGAGUGAGUCGACGUUCCUAAAAUAGCUUGUGACACCUCAGAACUUUCAAUUUUUGAAAUCGGGUUCAAAUUUGCGGUUAUUUUCAAUCCGGCGCGCUUUUAGCGUGACCUAGUCUACCGGAUAACUUUUAGGAAUUUUUGGUGCAAUUGACCCGUGAUCGAUUUAUCUCGAGUCACAAAGUACAUCUUCGACACAUUAGCAACUCUCAGUUGUCGUGAAAAUCUCAAGGUUUCAAUUACGGGCACCGGGUACCAAAACGACAGAAAAUCAAUUUAGUGCCGAUCGAUGAGAAUUUUACAAUCAAGUGGAAUCACCCACAAUUUGAUCACUUAUCUCAGUCGAAUCGACCUAUCUCUGAUUUCUGAUCGAUCUCUGACGGUGUCGUAAUGACCCUUGCAGAUCAACACGGUUGAGCAGUCGAUUCUUGGUCGAAUUCUCAAGUGCAAUUGCAUUUAGAUUCCCUAAUUGUUUCCCCGGAUAGUCCAGUUAUCUCAUGAGUGAUCAACUCAGAGAAUAGCACUAUUAGCGUUUUGAUGAAAGGCCCGAUUUAUUUAAUCGAAAACAAAUUAUGAAAAUUCAGGCUGUCACAUCACCCUUUCUCAUUCAUUGACAAUUUUCCAGCUCUAAUGGUUGGUUACUCUGUGUUGAGAGUCUGAGUGGACAUUGUUUUAUGGAGCUGUAUAUGUUGCUUAUAAAACCAAGCCUUUACAGAACCUGAUCAUGCUUUGGCAUUUCAUCUAAGCCAUCAUGCAGAGUUUAUUCAACUUAAUGCUUUUUCGCAUAGAAUCUCUACUGGUAAAUUAGACCGGGGAUGAUAUUGUUAUAUGAGAACAAAUGUGAACCAAGAUAACUUGGAGCAUGCUGGUUUUCAUAUGGAAAUCAAGUUUACACGACAUCUUGGGAAGGGUCAUGUGAACUUUAAUAACAGAAUGAUAGCGUCUUAGAUAUUAAGGCCAAAGAGGCAAACUCUCUUGCAAUUUCAAGGCAGUCACAGGGAACUUGAUGCAUGUCAAUACAAACUCAACAUGAAGGAAGAUAGAAUAGCUCCCGAUAUGAUGACUAACGUCAAAUUGCUGAUUAACAACCAAAAAAAAAAAAAAAAACAAACAAACAAACAAAUAAACAAACACUUUGCCUGACCAUUCUGGUUGGAGAGACCUCUUUAGACCUUCGCAUGGCCUAUGCCCCUGUUGUUUUUUUAAAAACCUGUGUAGAUGAAAUAGAUCUCAGUCUCAUCUUAUUGACAUAUGAGCUCUCACUAAAAAUUUUCACAUAAGUAAUGGUUUUGAUAGAUAUACUAUCUACAUAGCACAGGCUGCACAGCUAACCUAGCAGUCCUGCUUAGAAAAAUUCUUGAUGUCCACUUCUUUUUGUUUAAUUCUUCUGCACAAAAUUCGUAUUCAACAUGUUCAUGGAUCUCCAUACAACAUCGAGUAUACUGUGAGCACCAUCCAUCACUUCAAUCAGGUAUCCACCUAUCUAUAUGUAGACUCACUAUCCACUUUCUCACAGAUUUUGAUAUAGACUUAAAGAUAUUUUACUUAGUCUCUGCAGUAUGAUCUCUUAAAUUUCAAUGAAGUAUAUAACUAGAGGAAGAUUUGGCACAAAAAGGAAAUAGCUUCAGCUUCCGGUAGAUUGGGGGCCUUAACGUAUAGAUUGAUUGAGUAAAAGGUGAUGGACAUGGACCACAUUUAAUGUAUGAAAUUUGACUAAUACCAAACUCUUUCGACUUCAAUUUACAAAAUAAGCAAAUCAGACCUAAAAAUAUCGGUAAUCCAACAUAUUUUUUCUAAAAAAUUUAUCCAUUAUUUAAGUUUUUGAACACAUAUAAUGACAAGAGAUUUAGCUGUUUACAAAUUAUAAGAUGCAAUGCUUUGUUUCGAUAUGAUUCAAUUUAUUUCUUUUACUGCACUUUAUUAUGAUUUUAAAUUGGAUUCAUGUAAUUUUUAAACACCUCGAUUUUUAUAAAAACACAAGAAUAUCACCAUUUAUAGCACAUUAAAUUUAGUGACAUGUGAUGAAAUUGAAACGAUGCAGAUCUAAGACAUUCCUGCGUAUAAGUCUCCCAAGCAUCUGAUGAAAAUUGAAACGAUGCAGAACAUACAAUAUCUUCAUCAAGAAGGAUUACUAGACUAGCACCUUCCCAGGACCACUGUCUACUGAAUCUGCAUUUCACCUGUACCACAUGACUUAACCAGGAAAGACAAUUUUCAUCUUCGAGCACAAUUCAAACCCCAGGCGUUGCAACCCCCAUCCCAAAUGCCACGCUGCGGCACCAACUCUGUCAAUGUAGAGUUAGCGCCGCACAAAAGGGACCGCUUUCCCGGGAAUUUGAACUCGCUUAUCCACAUAUGGAAAGAAUGGAACUUGUUGAUAAUUAACGACUCAGCCAGAAACUCACCAAGAGGACAUACCUAAAACUGCAUUUACAUAUAAACGCAGUGUCNNNNNNNNNNNNNNNNNNNNNNNNNNNNNNNNNNNNNNNNNNNNNNNNNNNNNNNNNNNNNNNNNNNNNNNNNNNNNNNNNNNNNNNNNNNNNNNNNNNNNNNNNNNNNNNNNNNNNNNNNNNNNNNNNNNNNNNNNNNNNNNNNNNNNNNNNNNNNNNNNNNNNNNNNNNNNNNNNNNNNNNNNNNNNNNNNNNNNNNNNNNNNNNNNNNNNNNNNNNNNNNNNNNNNNNNNNNNNNNNNNNNNNNNNNNNNNNNNNNNNNNNNNNNNNNNNNNNNNNNNNNNNNNNNNNNNNNNNNNNNNNNNNNNNNNNNNNNNNNNNNNNNNNNNNNNNNNNNNNNNNNNNNNNNNNNNNNNNNNNNNNNNNNNNNNNNNNNNNNNNNNNNNNNNNNNNNNNNNNNNNNNNNNNNNNNNNNNNNNNNNNNNNNNNNNNNNNNNNNNNNNNNNNNNNNNNNNNNNNNNNNNNNNNNNNNNNNNNNNNNNNNNNUCAGUUUGAAAAGCAGAAAGCAUGCUCCUGAAUCUAACAGGAUUCCAGUUCAAGCCUUAAUCCUUGAGGACUCUCCCACAGAACUCUCCAUUCUUGAGUACCAUUCCCCAAUACGAGUGUGCUCCACCAUAUCUUUACCAGACCUCAAAUAUCGGAUCGGUCUUAAAACACCAAAGACAGCAAGAUCGGCCAAAUUAGGCUUUGAGCCCCCUGAAAUAGCAGAUAUUAUGAUGAGUAAACAUCUUCACCACAAAGGUGCAGACAUUAUUAUGAACAAGGUGCAUAUGAUCACGGACAACCUUUUGCGCAAAUGAAACUUUUCUCCAGCUGUCAACCAACAGCUAUAUCAAUAAAAGCUUUAUAUGAGUCGCACAAAAGGUUUUUACCUCAAGCAUUAUCAUAAUGUCCUUAAAAAGGUCGGCAACACAAAGCAUCAUGCCAUAAGUUCACACUUCCAGAAUCGUUAAAUAAUGAACAUUUCCUAGAUCUUGUGAAGGACGAAUUUCCCACAACUUUCAAGAAUAAGGGAGCAUAUCUUUUAUUGCCUACAUGCCAUCCCAACUUUUUAAUGUAGGUUGGAGACAUCAUCUAUACACCAAAUUGUCUAAUAUCCUGAUAGCUCACAGUGGAGAUGCUUUAAUUAGUAUUUUCUCAGAAGGUAGAACCCUUGUCCAUCAUCUCUACAGGCCCAAGGCUAAUAAACAUAAUAAAAAUCUUCUCAAAAGAAAUUGAUCUAUUAACAUAUCUAGCUUAACAAAUGUAUAAUUUUGAACCUUAUCAUACUCAUUUCUUUGAAGCCAUCCCGGCUUAAAGAAUAACUAGUUUGUAUGCAUGCACUAUGCUCAUGUGCGAUAAUUUCUAAGGAAAUAAUGAAGUCAAUAACUGUCACUGGGUGGACAGAUAAAAUACUUGACAUUAUUUUCUUUUUUUACCACUCUAUGAAUUAUUCUAGAAAGCAAAAACUUAAUGAACAUUUUACUACUCUUUCAACAACUUAUCAGAGUAUUUAUUCAAAAAUUUAGAAAAAAGAAAGAUAUGGAAGAAGAUGGAAUUGAUUGUUGCCUUGUAGGAACAAUUACAGAAUUUCACCAAGUGAAAUUUUUAGUAUAAAGCAGGAAUCCAUUAGAGUCGGAUAGCUAUGUGAGGUGCAGAACAAAUAAAACCAGUGAUGCAAGUAAAGCAACCAAUGCAAACGCCAGUGGCUCUUCCAAGGUGAAGUGUGACAAGGAUGAUCCAGAAAUGUAAAAUCACAGAAUCUUCCUGCUUUCACAAAAAACCCCCUUUUAUUGGGAGGGGUAGUUACCUCACAACAGUCUUGCAGAAUGCAAGAUGACUACACUACAUGCACUGAAAAUAUUAAAUACACAAUCUAUCAACUGAGGUCAGUAGAUGAGUAAAAGACUGAUAUAAUUAUCAAAAGAAGCAUGUUUCAAGCAACUAUUCCAUAUCAAGAGUGCAUACCUAAGAACUCCCUGCCAUUUAAGGCAUCAACCCAUGUCUCCACAGCAUCAUAGAGGGCAGCACGUUCAUCAGUAAUAUUGUACUUCUUCUUCAGGUUCUUGGAUACAAAGUACAUUGCAGCAGCUCCAGCAUAUUUUACCAUAAUUUUUUCGGUGAAGCUGAAAUUACCUGGAAUCACAGAACAUUUAAAUCUAGACACCGAUACAGCCAUUUCUACAGUAAGAUUCUUACACAAAAUGAAAAAAAAUUAUCGACCGAAUUAUUGCCAAUGGAUAGAUGACACUAAACACCCACCUUGUACAUGUUUCAAAAGCAAUACCAAUGUAAUGAACUUUAAGCAUUCAACAUUACAAACACCAAAACAACCAAAUUGGAUUUGAAAGAUUGCAAAUCACCUAAUCAGCAAAUCAAUAUAACGAAGUCCUUUUUGCCUCACACUCCCUCAAAAUAUAUAUAUAUAUAUAUAUAUAUAUAUAUAUAUGCAGCAUGAUCAUGUGAAACAAAACUUAACACAUUUAACAACUCAAAUGGUGACAUCACCUCAGCAGGCCAGAGCACAUAACACAUAUCACUCCAUUACAAUCUGUCCGUCUAUCACGUUUCAGCUUUCUAAGGCAUAAUAAAUCAAUAAUUUAAACCAAAGCCCAUGACUUCAUUUUAUGUAUUUAUGAUCACAUUAUGAUGAUUAUUAACAUUAUGAUGAUUAUUACAUAAACAUAUCUACUUUUUAUAUAUAUUUGAGCCAAUUACCAUAUGGCCAUAUUUGAACAAAACAACCCCAUGAAACUGAUCCGAAAGGCAGAUACCAUUGCAUUAGUUUUGCAAUCAUGCAAUGACGCUUACAUCUCAUUUCCAAAUUAUGUGUAUUCCACCUAUCUACAUCAUUUGGAGUUAAUUCCACCAGAACAAUAUUAAUCAUAGACAAGAACCCUAGAUGGAAUUCCUUCAAUAAAACAAACUGAGAGGAGAUAUAUUAUCAGAGAGCCAAGCUAUAUAAUGCACUAGAACAGCAAAACAAAUGGCAGAUUUUGACAGUGACUGAAAUGGCAUGGCUUUUACUCCAUGGAAUCAAUUUCAAAUGCAUCCAUAUUUUGAAAGGUUCUAUAUAUCAGCCUAAAGGAGAUAGUGGAACUCGAGUCUCUAGUUCAUUUUGAAAGACAGAAAAUGAAAUUUAUUGGAUUGGUAAUUGAUGGAAAUUGAGGUACUGUCUUCUCUUCUUAAUCAGCUCAUCCCACAUCAAGAUUUGACAUGCCUUACCCUCUGUGGCAGAUUGUUUGCGGUUGUCGAUAAUAUCUUCUGCUUGUUCCAAGGACACAUAGACAAUGUUGCUCUUAUUAAGCAGCAAUAUGGAUGGAACAAAACUGCUAAUGUGGUCAUCAUCAUUGUGACAUCCCGAUUUUUCCAAGUCUAUUUUCAAUAAAUUGAGACGGGUAUUUCGUUGGCACGCAUAUAGUUCUUUUCCUGGAGUUGGCCACUCAUGUGGAAACUAGUCUAUCGGGUGAAGCUGUUAAGAGUUUCUAAUGCAUCAGACUCAAGAAUUUGACUAGGAAGCGACCUUUCGACCGAGCUAGUCUGCAAGGUUCAUUACGGCACGAUUAAAAUCGAUUAAAGAUUGGAGAUAGGUCGACUUGACAGAGGCAUGUGAUCAGGUGUGGGUGAUUCCACCAGAUCGCACAAUUCUUGUUGAUUGGCACUGGACCGACUUUUCUAUCGAUUGGGUACCCUGUGUUCAUAUUUGAAACCUUGAGAUUACCUCGACAACCGAAAGUCGCCAAUGUUUCAAAGAUGUACAUUGUGGCUUGAGAUGAUCAACCACAGGUCAAAUGCAUAAAAAUCUCUAAAAGCUACCCGGUAGGUUGGGCCGCGCUAGUAUCGUGCCAAAGUGAAAUUAACCGUGGAAUUGAGAUCGAAUUCAGAAAUUGGAAGUGUGAGUGUGUCACAAAUCAUUUUAGGAAUAUUGACUAAUCUUCAGAAGAUUUUUCAUGCAAGCCGAGUUUUUCAGCAAUUAAAUCAGAGAAUGACUAAUUUGGCUCGAGAAAUUAGUAGGCCCGCAUUUGGUCGUACUUUUGGGACUUAAGUUGGUUCUAUGGACAAGUAAAGAUGUGAAUUGAAGUGUGGUGACAUUGGAUUAAUUUUAUGGACUUCAAUUUAGUUCAAUUGGAAGAGAAUUGAUGAGAAUUGAAGAAAGUGAAUGUACAAAAAUUGGACCCCGGCGGAAAAUGGAAUUGAACCCAUUGGAAUAAGGUUGUGGGAGUUUUGAGUGAGUGGAGUAUGAUAUCAUGGAUGAUGUCAUGGUGGGCCAUUUUGUGGGAUUAAAGAAAAAGAAAAAGAAAAGGGAAUGGUCCCAUCUCUCUCUCUCUCCUCCUUCUCUCUCCUUCCUCUCUCCCNNNNNNNNNNNNNNNNNNNNNNNNNNNNNNNNNNNNNNNNNNNNNNNNNNNNNNNNNNNNNNNNNNNNNNNNNNNNNNNNNNNNNNNNNNNNNNNNNNNNCCUAUUACUUUCCAAUCAAUUAUCCACCAAAAUAACUCAAUUUAAGUGCAAAAUUCCAUCCCCAAUUAUUGAUCCGAAUUUCACUAAUUUUUAGGAUAAAUUCCUUCACUCAAUUUCCCAAAUUGAGGUCCAAUCUUGAUGAAGAAAAAUCCCGAACGAUUUUCUAUAAAUUCCUGACACUCACAGGCUUGGCUUAGAAGUCCCAAUUUCCAUCAAUUUAGCCCAUCUGAAUUUCCGCUGAUUUUCCGUAACGUCCGAAUCAAUUUUCCGCAAAAAUCCCGGAAUCUCUGAAAAUUCCUCGGAGAGUGAGUCGACGUUCCUAAAAUAGCUUGUGACACCUCAGAACUUUCAAUUUUUGAAAUCGGGUUCAAAUUUGCGGUUAUUUUCAAUCCGGCGCGCUUUUAGCGUGACCUAGUCUACCGGAUAACUUUUAGGAAUUUUUGGUGCAAUUGACCCGUGAUCGAUUUAUCUCGAGUCACAAAGUACAUCUUCGACACAUUAGCAACUCUCAGUUGUCGUGAAAAUCUCAAGGUUUCAAUUACGGGCACCGGGUACCAAAACGACAGAAAAUCAAUUUAGUGCCGAUCGAUGAGAAUUUUACAAUCAAGUGGAAUCACCCACAAUUUGAUCACUUAUCUCAGUCGAAUCGACCUAUCUCUGAUUUCUGAUCGAUCUCUGACGGUGUCGUAAUGACCCUUGCAGAUCAACACGGUUGAGCAGUCGAUUCUUGGUCGAAUUCUCAAGUGCAAUUGCAUUUAGAUUCCCUAAUUGUUUCCCCGGAUAGUCCAGUUAUCUCAUGAGUGAUCAACUCAGAGAAUAGCACUAUUAGCGUUUCGAUGAAAGGCCCGAUUUAUUUAAUCGAAAACAAAUUAUGAAAAUUCAGGCUGUCACAAAAACAUUGGCACAAAACUCCAAUCCCUUCUUAAAACAAGUAGAUAUGACUAUCUAAUAUGAAUUGGGCUGUAAAGCACGUGAUGCUUUUGCCAUGUAACGGAAGAUGAUAGCUAAGUGAUUAUAACUGAUAAACAUUGAUGCUCCUCUUUCUCCUUGAUCGUAUGAGAUCUGAAAACCUUCGUAGUGCUCCAAAUGAGGUUGAUGCUCAACCUCCAUGGCACAUUACUCCUGUCAUUGCUCCAGUUGGAGCUAUGACCGAUGCUUGACCUUUCCUUUAAAAAAAAUUGUUUUCAACGGUAAGUCUUUGCAUUGUCAUUGCAUAGACUUCAAUUUUAGAUGCCAAUAAAUCUUAGUCAAAAGGGAAAAAAAUUAACAUCUACCACUCUUAGGAACCUUAUAUGCUUUUAGAAACUUAGUCAAGCAUGGCAUGCUAUUGAGGGGUUGGAGGACUUUGUCAGGCUUGAGAAGAGAUCUAAUUGCUGCAAACAAAAGAAAUGAAAUCUAUAACCAUCGGAUUUUGUUUUUAAGCAAAAACCAGAAAAUGAUGCAGUGCAAUACAUUUAGCUACAGAGUGGCAUUUUGAUUUGUGAUAUACAGUUUUAGAUAUCAUGGUUUUCAUGACCACAAGAAGAAAUCUAAUUGCAACAUUUGGUAGCAAAUUACUCAACAUCAUCUCCAGUGAGUUUGUUAAGAAUUUUCUCUCGACAAGCUAAAGAAAUUUAUUGCACAAUGGCAUCAAGCAUAUGCUAGCCCAUGUAACAAAUCAUAAACGCAAUUCAUGCUAUGAGGUAUAAGAAAGAAUGCACUUAGUAAUGUCAUUUUCACACAACCAAAAGUUGUGGAAAGCCAUCUAUCAUUCAAAAUAAAAAAAAACCAGUCCUGCUAUUUUCAAAGGCUCUCCUAUUUCUUUCUUCAAACAAAACAGUAAGCUAAUGAAGUGAAUCAACCAUGAACAUAGCCCAACAUAAACAAGGAAAAAUAAAAACUACUUACUGUUUGAUGUUGGGUUCCAAAAUCCAACAAAAGGAAGUUCUCUAGUAGAACCCAAAAACAGGAGUGUGCCAUAGAUUCAUAGAGAAUUUGAACAGAAAUUACAAGGCCUAUAGGACAGGCAAUCGAAUAGAAAGCAAAUGAAAGUAUGCUGCAGAAGGCAGUCUUAUAUAUUAUGGACCUGAAUAUCCAUGCACAAUGAUGAACAAGGCAUUACUACAAGGUGAGCUCGACAUCGAAUUUGUAACAACAAGAGAGAGAAUGUUGAUCGUCAUAGGAGCAGAGACUAUGUUCUCCAUGAUAGCUACUACGCAGUCAUCUCUUUGACCCAACAUUGAGAUUCAAAUGCAGGGUGGCAAGUUCAUCUUCAGAAUAGCAUAUUAGUAUGGCCACUCAUUAAGUCAGACCAAUAACCAAGAAUGAACCAGUCACCGUAAAUAGACUACUUCUGAUGUCCUUGCUGGCACCAAGGAGAGCUGAGAGUUGCCAAAAGCAUUAUCUACACAUUCUUUCUGAAUCAUUGAUUUCAUGAGUUCCGAUGGCAAUAUUUAGGACUAACAAGGAAUGAGAUGGAUCGGUCCGCUAUUAAUUAACUUGGUUUAUAGAUGUAAGUAGACUUUGUCUAAUUAAAUCUGUACAAAGACUCAAAACUUUGAACUCGUGAAGAAGACUGGAAAGCAAGUUAUCUUGACAACUUGAAUAAGAACAUAUGACCUUAAAAUGAAUCAUGAGGCUUGCAUUUAUUGUCAAUUUCAUGUAUAUCCAUGAAGGAUCUGUUUCCAACUGCAAUAUCCUCCAAUUCACCGAUGGCUUCUAUUUGACUAAGCUGCAUAGCAACGCCUCCAUCCUCAAAGCUACUCUAGAAAAUCAUUAUCUUUCAUAUCUAAUAAGUCCAUAAAAGUUUCUAUCUUAUUCUUCCUCCCCGUACAACCAAUAGGGGUUAGGACCUUUUCCUUCCAAAUAACCAACCGACAUUUCUGAAUCAGCUCCACACCUUCAUAAGCUCCUGUCAAGGACACACUAAACCUCUUCCCCCUCUUAGAGACAUAGAAAACGCAAUAAUGCUUCAACAAGAGUCUCAUCAACUUCUGAGGCAUCACAAAUUCUUGUUGAAAGUGCCCUAUGUGAUCAGUUACCGACCUCUUUUCCAUUGUGAAGCCACGUAACUCGUGCAUUGCUGCAAUUAUUGAAUUAUUUCAAUCCAGCUUGAAGGCUACAUGCAUCAACAUAAGGAGAUAAGUAUAACCUUUUCUAUAUGUGCUCAAUCUUCCCUCAAUAUCUAUACACCUUCUUGUAACUGGCGGGAAACUUCAAAGGGAAAGAUAGGGAAAGCAACCCUGGAGUAUGAAAGGCAAGUUCCAAUACCCCCAAUAUGGGUUUCUCCAACUCUGUGAUCACUCUACGAGCUGGAGAUAGCCAACUGCAUCUGGAGAUUUAACCACUUUGAAGUGCUGCGGAUACUCGUGUAGCCACUUGCUCCUGAAAUCAGUUGGCAAAGCAAACUCUCUCGUGAAAUGAGCAAUUUUAUCCACAUGAAGUCAUUUAUUGACCAACAUCAUCAACAUCCUAGUCAUGUAUUCAACAGCCGUGCCAGAGUGUCCCCUAACCAAUCUCUUUUCUUCCUCGAACUAGUCUUCAGCUUCUUUAGUCAAUUCAAAACCACAAUACCCCCUUUUGAUCCUUAUACAACUCAAACAGUUUUGGCGACUUCCGAAUAAAAUCCACUAUACCGUUUGGCUUGAUUAUAGAUCCAGCAACCUCACAUGGAUUAUCAUCUCGGGUUCCUUCUUCAACAUUUCCAUCAAAACCAACACCUUCGACACCACUAUAUGCUUCUCAGUGGCAAUUUCGAGAUCAUGGACCCUAUUGUCCUUGCUCCUAUCUUGCACUUUCUUGCUGGUGGUCAUGAAUCUAUGCUGCGGCCACAUAAGUAAAACCUUGCCAAAACUCCAGUUUCUUCUCAAGGUAGGCGAACACACUCGGGAGGUGACAAAGCAACCAAACUCUCUUGCCGCACUCCAUUCAUUUGAGGAAGCUACGGCUUUACCAAUGAUUUGAAGACGGGUCAUGUCAAGAUGGUAAUGCGUCGCUCCAAAUUCAAGAAACAAGCCCAAGAAAAGCAAAUGCCUCUCACUCAGGACAAACAUCAAACGGCUUACGUGCAAUGGAACAAGGAACAGCGAAAGCCCAAGACAAAAAUAUUUGAGAAGAUUGCCGUAAAUGCGCGAUUACCAUCUCUCUCGGAUCACUCGAUCAGCAUCAGUCUCGACUUCGACAGAUUGUCGUUUUGGUUUUUGCGUUUCCCGUCGUGAGAGAGACGAUAUUUUGAUUUAAAUAAUUAAAAGAGCUUGAGGGUCUUAUAAAUGGCGAUAUUCUUGUGUUUUUUUUUUUGUAAUAAAAUUUAGGCGUUUGAUAUUACAUCAAAAAUCUGAUUUAAAAUCAUAAUAAAGUUUAGUAAAAAAAAAAAAUCGAACCAUAUCGAAACCAAAUAUUACAUUUCAUAAUUCGUAAGCAGCUGAACAUCUUCUCUCAUUCUACAUACGUUUAAAAACUUACUUAAAAGAACAAAUUUUUUACGAAAAAUAUGAGAAAAAACAUGUCAGAGAUUACCAAUAGUUCUAUAUUUUAAGUCUGAUUUGCCAAUUUUAUAAAUUUGAGUCAAAAGGGGUCGAUAUUAAAAUAUGCUCCAUGUUCCACAAAAGAAAACACAUGCUCCAUGUUCAUCACCUUUUACCGAAUCAACGAGUUACAAAUUUUAGGAUGUGUGCCACCUAAGUGUAAUAUAAUCAAACCGAUCACGAGCAAGUUCUUACCAAGCCAUUUCGAAUAACUCAAUUGUUCGUUGAUAUUUUCAUGAUUCAAUGAGCAAUAAGCGUGGAGUUUGGACAUAAUGCAAUUAAAUCAAGUAUCGAUAUAUAUAUAUAUAUAUUUUAUAUCGACUUUUUUUUCCUUUUCUUAAAAAGAACUAAAUUCGGUCCAAUUUAAGAAAAUUAUAAGCCAAACAUGAUUAAGAUGAAUAUAAAACUGAGCUAAAAAAAAAAGAACUGAGUUAUUUAAUGUGAAAUAAAAGAAAAAAUCAAACCAAUAUUUUCCUCUCCCUCUUUAGAAGUGUAUCUGACAGAUCCAUUAAACCUCAAUUUAUAAGGAUCUAUCUCCGAAUAACGAAAGAAAAAAAAAAGAAAAGGAAAAUAAGCCAAGAGCCAUUCUUCCGAUCGUUUCCAAUAUCCGCAGAAAAAUUCAAAAGUCUCUUCUCCUGCGCAGACGCAGCGAACUUCAUUGCCGAUCGUCAGACUCCAUCGUCGUCGAAGAUGCUUUCGUCUCUCUCAACUGAGUUUCACGAUCUCCGCUUGAUUUCGGUUCAUCUCCUUUUCCGCAGCGCGAUCGCCGGCGACGAUGACUCUGAGUUUCGUCUCGUGUUCGCUCGUUGAUGUUCGGAGCCGAAGAGCAGAAGAUCGUGGAAAGAGAGGACGUCGACGACGAACCAGGAGACCUGCUCGAAACGAUCGACAAACAAACGUGAGUUACGGAAAAACAGAGUGUAGGCAACUCCUCUCUGUUCAUCUGAUCGCUUUCGUAAUGAGUUUCGGUGCGUCCUUUGAUUCUGAGAUUGAUUAUCGUGGUUUUCUGAUCCGUGUUCCGAAAGUUAAAAUUAAGAUGCAAAUGGUUCGAUGAAGCUAAUGGCCGUGAUUGUCAUGAUUUACAUCUCGACCUUUCUCCCGACACCUGUCGUGAUUUCCUGCACGUACAAUUGUUUUUAGUUUUUUGUCUUCUGAUCAUACAAGAGCAAUGUUACGUGACAUUGGAAUUGCACCAUUGUAUUGGUGACAUAGCUGGAUUAAUAAGGUGUAUCCUAAGCUAAAUUCAUCAAUAAUCACUGUUGGAAAGCUAGAUUGUCAUUGAUCAUCUAGGAAAUGCUUUUGUCCUGACAUUCUACAUUCACCAGGAAACAUAAGAGUUUAACGCGAUGCUGAGUUGAGGAACGUAUUCUUAUUUGGCCAAGUGAAUUGCUUUUUCUUUGUUUAUUUUUUGUAGCACUUAACUGGAAUAAAUGGAUUAUCUGAGGCAAAAGUUGAAAAGAUAUGAGAUGGUGGCUCCAAUCAAUUUGAACUUCUAUAAGCAUCUCGCAUUGACUUCCCUUUGUUUUAUCAGAAUUUUGGCUAUAUUAUUGGAAGUGAUGCUCUGCUCAGAGUAAGUUCCUAAUUCUGCAAACUUCAAGCUAAAAUGGUUCACAAUACCCUUGAAAUAAAGCUUGCAAAUUAGCAAAUCUGUUGCUCAAAGUACUUUCGAUGUCUUCGUUAUUUCCAGAGAGAGUCGUCGGUUAUUUGCAUCACAACUGGAAGCCCCCUCGAUGAGCUUUUAGGCGGUAAUCUUCAUGCAUUUCAACAAAUACAAAUUUCAUUGGUUUGGCAAUAUUAACAGGUGGUAUUGAAACUCCGGCAAUUACAGAAGCAUUUGGCGAAUCUGGGUGAAAAUCACAGUCCAACAACGUUACCUUUGAUGAACUUUUAGUUGCUUUUGUUAAUUAGCUUUCUCAGAAAAUGCUGCUGACGUCACUUCAAGUCUGGGAAAACACAGCUGGCAUAUACCCUAUGUGUUACUUCUCAGGUUGGACUGAAUUAGAUGUUAGGUUUCUGUCUUGAACUUCUGUUGCAUUUUUUUUCUCAGAUGAACAAUGCCAAAUAGUAACAUAAUGAUUGAAUUUCUAUGGAGUAUAAAGAUGUGGGUGAUCUUGGCAUCAUAAUGUGUGUGUUAGGUGAUUCUAGAAGUAUGGCACUCAUUUUCUGUAAUCUGCAGUCAGUAUACUGGAACGUAUAUAUAGUGGCUCAAACCAAGCAGGGAAAAGGCCAGAAGAGUUUGUACUAUGUCAUAACCGAGUAGAAGCCUUAAUCAUAGUCGGACUCAGACUUGGGUUGAUCAUUAGUUGAAUGUGAUGCUUGAAGAUACUCUACUUUAUUUGCAAAUCCUACAACAGUAUUUACCCCUGUUUUCAAUCAUUCUUUAUUAAUGGUUUGUGGAUUCCAUGAUCGUGCCAACUCACAUGAGAGGAGGAAAUGGCAAGGUAGCUUAUAUCGACGCGGUAGGAACUUUGUAUCCUAUUAUAAUCUGUCUGUAUUUUUCUUGACCUUGACAAAGCUACUUGUGUUUCAUAAUCGUUGUCUGUCCAUGUAAGCGCAUGUGCACUUUCUUAACUUGGUACACCUGCAGUUGCGGUGAUUGAAUUGUACCAAUUGCCAAGAGAUUUGGCAUGGAUCCUGGUGCAGUCCUAGAUAAUGUAAGCUAAGCUUUCCGUAUUGGUGGCAACUCUUCCUUCUUUUCUGGCUAGUGUACUUGCUAUAAUCUAGUCUUUCCAUGAAUUUGUAGAUCAUUUAUGCCCGUGCCUAUACUUAGGAGCAUCAGUAAGAUUUGCUUCUUGAUUUGGCUGCUAAAAUGUGUGAAGAACCAUUUAGAUUACUAAUAAGACAGUGCUCGAGAAUGAAACUGCACACAUUUUGUGAGGUGUGGAUGGUUGACCUUAGGUGAGUAACAUCUUUCAGAUUAUGUAUUCGAUGAUCCCUCUCUUUCAAAUGGGUAUUAUUGGAAGGGGAGAACUUGCAAAGAGCCAGGUCCAUUGUAACCGUCAAAUCAUGCGAGUUGUGAUUUUUGAGCUUAUCUUGUUUGGAGACUAAUAAAUUCCGAUUGCAGCAAAAAUUGCACAAGUGCUCUCAGGCUUACUUAAGAUAGCUAAGGAAUUUAAUGUGGCAGUGUGCAUAACCAAUCAAGGUACUGCAUCACAUCUCAUUUCUCCCGCAGUCAUGCAUUCAUUAAUACUUAUCCAAUUUAGCCCUUUGAUGGUUGCACACUGAAAAAUUGCAAUUUGGGGAUAGCACUAAGCUCAUGCUAAUUCUUGUAAAUCCCAAUAACCAGCUGUUUGGUGUAAACUGGUGACGCAUACAGUAGCUGCAGUCCAUUAUUUAAGGAAAAAAGGUAACUUUUUGACGACUUAGAUUUAUUUGUUUCAGCAUCAAAGAAACCUGCAGGAGGGCAUGUUCUGGCUCAUGCAGCCACAAUUAGGUUGAUGCUUAGGAAAGGCAGAGCGGGUUUGCAAGAUGUUCAAAGCCCCAAACCUACCUAAAGCUGAAGCUAUAUCCUUUUUGUGCCGGACCUUCUUCUUGCAAUACACUUCAUUGAAAUCUACCAGAUUAUACUGCAGAGAUCAAACUAAAUAUCUAGAAGUUUUUAUCAAUUGGAGAGAGUCGAUACUAAGUCUAUAUAUGGAUAGGCGGAGACCAGAAUUUGAACAGUAUACUUGCAGUGUACUUACAUGCGCAGCCUGUGCUAUGGAAACAAAAUACCCAACCAUUGGUGAUGCCAGACUGCAGAUCUUCCUCUAGUUAUGUACUUCGUUGAAAUUUAUCAGACCAUACUGCGGAGAUCAAGUGAAAGUCCGGAAGUCUAUAUCAAAAUCUGUGAGAUAGUCUAUACUUAGUCAACAUAGGGAUAGGUGGAGACCUGAUUUAAGCAUGAUACUCACAGUAUACUUGAUGUUGCUUGGAGAUCCAUGAGCACGUUGAAUACGAAUUUUGUGCGGAGGCAUUAAACAAAAAGAAGUGGAUAUCGGGAAUUUUCCUCUGUAGGAUUGGCAUAUUAUUAUUAGCUGUGCUAUUACGUAGAUGAUGCACAUCUAUCCAGACCAUCACUCAAUUUUGUUAGAAAAUUUAGCAGGAGCUCAUCUGUCGAUAAGAUGAGACUGACAUUUAUUCCAUCCAUGUUGAACUUGACGAACACACGUUUUUCAGAUGACACCAGGCGGCAUUGCUGAUGCUAAGGACCGAAGAAGUCUCUCCAACCAGGAAGGCAGGCGAAAUGCUUUUUUUUUUUUUUUUCUGGUUAAUCUGCAAUUUGUAGUUAGUCAUCGUAUUGACAGCUAGAGGCAUAUAAUGAGCUCCCAAGCCCUUGUUCCUUUCCUUUCUCUGCAAAGGACCCUUUGUCACCCUUGUCAUAGCUUGUCCCUAAGUUUCAUGUGCUUGACAACAAACCAUUCAUGAAUGACAUGAGAUACUUUCUCUAACUGUGAUGGUGACCCAAAAGAUUUGUCAACUACAAUGUCACCUUUGCGUAUCAAAUGCAAAAUAUAUCAUAAGGGUAAGGCCGAAGUUUUUUUUCUGCUUCUAUUUAUGUUUAGCCAAUUGAAUGCAAAUAAUAUAGCCUUAUAUGCUCUUAGGAACUUAAUUGAGCAUGGCAUGUAAUUGAAAGGUCAUAGGACUUCAUAAGAGAUGUAACCAAAAGAAAAUUAUUCAGUGUAAUUUCGAAUAACCUCAAAUGAAAUUAAAUUUAUCAAUUACUGUGUUUUGUCAUAAAGAAAAAAAAAUAAAAUUAUCCAGUGGAAUAUGUUUUUAACUACACAUAAUAGUAGAUGGGUUUAAGGUCAAUAGUUUGUGGAUAUCAUGGUUUUUAUGAGCCCGAGAAGAAAUCUAGUCAGAAUAUUUGAAAGCUAAUUACCCAAACAUCAUCUCCAUUGAGUUCGCAAUAGUUUUCUUUUGAUAAUUAAGAAAACUUUGUUGAACUUUCUUACACGAGCAAUCUGGCUUUUGUUUAUGUUACAUGACAUUCAAAUCGCACCAUUGCAGUAGCUGCAGUCCUUGAGUUAAGGAAAAAUAUUAUUUUUGAUGACUUUGUCUUUGAUUUAUUUGUUUCAGUCGUAGAUGAUCUAGGCGGUGCUGUGUUCAUAUCAGACCCAAAGAAACCUGCGGGUGGGGAUGUUCUGGCUCAUUUAGCCACAAUUAGGUCUCUCCUACCAAGAUGGAUGAGCUCUGCUGAUAUCACUGUCUGUUAUUAAAGUUCACACGACCCUUCACAAGGUGUUGUGUACACUUGAUUUCCAUAUGAGAACCAGCACGCUCCAAGUUAUAUUGGUUCACAUUUGUUCUCAUAUGGCAAUAUCGUCCUGGUCUGAUUUACUAGUAGAGAUUCUAUACGGAAAACAUUACAUUGGAUAGACUUUGCGUGACGGCUAAAUGAAAUGCCAGAAAGAUAUUACUGCACAAAGCAUGAUCAGGUUCUGUAAAGGCUUGGUUUUACAAGUACAUAUACAGCUGCAUAAAAACAAUGUCAUCUCAAACUCUCGACAUAGAGCAACAGACCAUUAGAGCUGAAAAAAUUGUCAAUGUAUGAGAAAGGGUGACUGGGUCAUAAGCAACAGAAGACCAUUCAAUAGCUAAUGGCCUGGCCAAAAAAGGGCCACAAUGCAUAUGACUCGGCAGUGCAAGGGCAAGUUCGCAGCACUCCCAACUCUAGGCAUGCUGGACUCCUUUGUCUCUGCACCACUUCAAAUGUAGCGCUUUGCACUCAGCCCAAGCUAUUCACCCUAGGAACUAGCUUCACCUCAUUCGGUGCAUGCUCGUAACUCCUCAAACAUUUAGAGCUGGUAAAGAAGCAUCCUGAGUUGGAAAAGAAGGCAAUGUUAACAGGCGAACGAUUUGGCACUCAAAAAUCAUUGGAAGAGCAACAUUAUAGGUGAAAAGGCACAUUUCAAUACAUGCAUACAGGUAAAGAACACCAUUUUGACCUUAGAUUAUAAAUUUAUGUUCGAAACCAAUUUUUCCAAAAUGCUGUUACCCAACAACAUAACAUUCUCCUCUGAACUCUGCUUAAUAUCAGCAGAGCUCAUCCAUCCUUACUUUUCACAUUGCAAUGCAUGGACCAAAUUCCAGUGGAGCCGCAUCAACAAACCAAAAAAAUAAUUACCUUUAGGGAUGGUGCAAAAGACUUCCCAAAGCCCAUCUUCACAACUUCUGCAUCAUCUGAGCGAACAAGACUGCCUCCAGAAUCAAUUCCCCAGAAGGAAGGAAAACUGCCAUAAAAUCCUGAAUGAUCAGAGAACAGAAAGGAUUAGAUAUAGAUUGCAGGUGGAGGGAGAGAUUGAGAGCGAUAUCCCAGAACGAAACCAAUGAACAUUAUUAUUACUCACACAGGCCAGAAAAGGAGUUUUAGAAGAGCUGUCGAAGAGCACAAAACCAAACUUCCUGCUGAUAUCUCUCACAACUCGAUCCACAGGGUAAGGCCUCUGAUCCCUUGAGAGUUCUAUAAGCUUCUACGACGAUGAUGACCUCAUUAGCGGUUUUAUGCCAUCCAUAUUACCGCUUAAGAAGAGCAACAUUGUCUAUGUGUCCUUGAAACAAGCAGGAGAUAUCAUCGACAACCACAAACAAUCAGCCAGAGGGUAAGGCAUGUCAAAUCUCGAUGUGGGAUGAGCUGAUUGCACAGAGAAGACAGUACCACAAUUUCCAUCAUUUAACAAUCCAAUAAACUUCAUUUUCUGGCUUUCAAAAUGAACUAGAGACUCGAGUUCCACUAUCUCCUUUAGGCUGAUAUAUGGAACCUUUCAUGGUAUCACAGUAAAGUCCAACAAAAAUCAGUUUGAUCUAACCAUUGCCUCUCUAAACAAUGAAAUCACGAUUAUUUUUUCUUUUUUGGUGGUUAAAGCUACCUUUAUCAAGAGAUGGAGUGGGAAUUUGAAUCGAAGAAAGAUAAACUUUAUUCUUUGAAUGGGUUUCGGCCCACGUAGUUCAUUCAAAAUUUAGCUGUUUCAUUCACAUAUUCAAACCUCUGUUUUCACUUUAUCCUUCCAUCUAUACAAUAACCGUUAUGGGAAGAAAGAGAGCUUCUUAUUUUGAAUAUUGACCUGAAAAUGUUAAAAGGAUAUUAUCUAACCAAUUCACAUACAGAAAUUCACAUUGUAUUUUGUGGCUCCUACAAUAUAUCACUAAAAGCAAUUAUGUACUUAAGAGUCAAAAGUACAGCUUUUUAACCUAUUGGCAAGUGAUGCUGCAUAUUCAAUGUUAAAAACUUAAGACUCAUCCUUCCAUGAGCCCCAAUCAAAAUGACAAACGAGGGCCGUUGUUACUGUGAGUACAUCCUGUAUAUCAGCAGCAAUCCUCUCUUCAUCCUUUUUUGCUUUCUCUAUGUAACAAACCCUCAUUUUAUGUUUUAUAAGGUAAGGUGAUGUGAUCCCAUUGAACCACUCUUGGCUGAUGACGAACUAAACUCAACUGAUUCGACGAGAACUGAAGUAUCUUAUUAUGAUCCCGGAAAUUCCCACAGAAAGGCGCCACCUUGCCUUGAGAAACCACCCAAAGCUUGUCCAUGCUUCCAGAUAUUGGAUGCGAAUCGUGACUAACCUGCAAAUCAAGGUGAAAAGAUGGCUAUUAGCUGUAAAGACAAUUCAUCAUUGGUCAAAUUGAAGUAUUCUGGCAAAAAAAUCAAUCUCACCAUCAAACACCUUCCUUGGAACAAGACCAGCCCUCAAAUGAGCGCCUCAACCGCAUCCAAAUGCUGCAGUUUGGGAUAGUAAAAGCACAGAAUCAUACUCAUCAAUCCUUGGACAAGAAACUAGCAAUUUACAAAGAUAGAACUUCAGUAAUCAUAGGUCAUUAAAGUAGAACUUAAAGUCCACAUUUAUAAACAAAGAAAUUUCCACAUUAAUUAUGUGCAAAACCCAAUGCUGCCUAUAGGAUAUUGGACCUACUUGGUAUUACAGAUUACUGCAAUACAAAAAACACUGAUCAUGCUAGCAUACAUGUUUGAUUCCCAAUAUUUUGCCAGUUGGAACAAUUAGAUUGGUUCUGUUCCAUUAUAAGUUAGAUGUGAGAUGGCAGAGGCUCCCUGUUGUGAUCACUAAUUGGUUCCAUUGUAUUUUCAAUGUAAAGACCAGAUUCCUCUAAGUUCAAAUAGUGCAAGAACAAUAUAACAAGCUAACUGAAAAUGUCAUCAAAGUCAAAAAAUGGAGAAAAAUGAGUAAAACUUACCAGAUGAUUGGAUGGCUCGCAAGCAAAACUAUGUGAGGUUUCUCGAAAGUUAUCUUGGCAAAUGCAACACUGCUUUUCUGACCACCUAUUUAUAUGGGAAAAGAACCAUGUUAUAUAUGCUAUAACAUUCAAAAAGCCUCAGAGAAAGUACACAGUGAACCGCAAUUUAGAUUACAAAUUAACUCACCUCUAAAAGAGGUUCACGAUCUCACACAAAAAUUGCUUCAAUAAAAAAUUUACAUAUGCAACAGUAGCAGAGAGGGAGGAGAUGUAUCACACAAGGUUUGCAUUUGUUGAAGUGCAAGAUUUCCAGUUACACCAAACAAACACAAGUAAGCUCGAACUUUUGUUCUGGAACUACCCACACGAAAAAUGCCACUUAAGAAGGUGUUUUCAGAUAAAAUAACAUAAUGUAAGACAAAAUAAUAUUCCACAUUAGAGUAAACGCACACAACUGAUACUUUAAAGAACUGAAUAGAUUUCCCCCAGAGGUCACUGCUGACAACACAAUCACAGAAGUAGGUAGCAUAUCAUUUCAAUCUCAACCAAACAAGCAUAAGUAAAUUGGCUAAAAAUUUCUUGCAAGCUUUUAGUAAUAGUUCCUAACCCACCAGGGAUCAAGACCCAAGCGGAAGGUGAUUUAUGGGAUAUCAAUGCUGUCAUGAAUUGGUGUGGCAUUGAAAGGUUGGAGCCAUGAGGCGCCCCAGAAUUUUAUGGCAGAUUGACUGGUUAAUACUACGAAGGAUCAUCAUCAACAAAAAGAAGGUUCUUGAUGAUAAUGGAAACCAUUGAAAAAAAGGGGAAGUGCAUCCCUUUGCUUCGCAA